rnacentral:lncRNA from 1 species
CCACCAUUUUCUCUCCGAACAAACAUGUCCCCUGAGCUGGUGAACACCAAUUGUUUGCCUUGACUACCUGACACGGUCCCUGCGGUCGUUUUUGUGUCGAAGUAAGGGAAGUUGGCAUUAUCUGUUGUCAAGUUGACGGUGUUGAGCACGAGGUUUCCAUCACCUUGCAAGCGCAGCUGGAACCGCCCUUUUGUGUAGUUAGUCUCCGAUUGUCUACACGAAAGCGUCCCAUUUCUCUCAAUUGUCUGUCCAGGCAAAAUGGUGUCUGUAGGAUUGCUGAAGGUCUCCCACAAGCUCCGAGAGUUUUGGUGUUGAAGGACAAAGUUUCCGGUGUCAUUCAUGACCCCGUUCGCAACAGUCCCCAAGGUUAUUUCGGAUUUCCAUGUCUCUCCACCCUGAGGAUUGUUAAGAACUAGUCCACUGUUGGCAGUCAAGUUCAGAACUGAUCCCCUAGGUGCAACCAUGGGGUUGUUACCGUCAUAUGCAUACCAAACUACGGUUUUGUCUGGGAUUUUCGCAUACCAUAUCGAAAGCAAGAAACGAUCAUUGUUUCCGAGGGGCGAAAAUCCAAACGCGAAAUCACCGGAUGGAGAAAGCCAUGAUGAGGAGUCGCCUGUAGUUGCAGUUAGAGAACUCCCAACUGCUACUGUUCCAUUAUUUUGGGAAAUCACAGAAAUUGGUAGCAAAAACAAAGAGGAGAACAAAAGCAUCUCUACAGAAAGAGCCACUGCCAUUGCAAAAGCACCAAUUUUUCAACUUGGCUUGAUUGAUUAGCUAUAUUUCUUAGUAAAGCAUUGGUCCUGGUUAUAUCUUUAAGUAAAUGUGUGUGCACCACGUGCCUGUCAUUUUCUAAGUUUUUGCCUGGAAUUAAAGGCGUCUACACCAUUUUUUGAAGUCACACACAACAAUAUCUCCGGGCCUACAGAAUAAAUUCUCCGAAACUACACAUAUCACAAGAAUUUCACUUUCAAAAAAAAUAAUAUAAUGAAUAGUUCUAUAUAUAAUAACACCGAGAUUUUUUGUGAUAGAACUUAUUGUCUCUUUCAACUCUUUGUAAUGUUGCAAGUUGUAACAAUAUUGAUGUAAUUAGUAAUGAUCCGUGACUUGUCUCUCUCAAAUCUCUUUUCAUCCUACUCUCAUCCCUCGUCUGUUUUAUGAUUCUACUGACUUAAGCACUUAUAAAUGUUCCAAAUCAGCAAAGGACUUGUAACUUAAAUAAUUAAUAAUAUUUAUCAUUACACUCGAGAUUCAUGACUCACGCUGCAUGUGUCGGCCAUUCAAGUCCACCAGUCAAAAUUCAACAAUGGGGACCACAAAGAAAAUUUGAAAAAGUACAUGCAGAUUGAGGACGGAUACAUAGAAAAUCUGAAAACAGACCUUCAGAACCAAACAAAGACGACUAACUAAGCCUUUAAGUCAAGUGAUAAGAGACUUUUUUUUUUUUUUUUUUUGAAGAAUAUAAGAGACUUAUAUCUUCACAAAAACAAAGACGACUAAGUCUCUAUUUCUGUAUUCACAAAAAAAAAGUACUAACCGAAGUUUUUAAUGUAUGAUUACGUCGUUGGGGUAAGACACCCGAGGCCGAGUUGAGAUAAUCACAGAAUCGAGAUCCUCUUCGAAUGUCACAGUCUGGCGCAAACGGACUUAGAGACCCGAACCACUCAUUUUAAAUCAUACGACCUUCAUUAGCUUAUCCUAUUGACCCACAUCACAUAAGGGGUCCGAAUCUCUCUCUCCCCUCUCUUGACCGGUUUGGAUAUCUCGGUCUAUCGAUUUUGGAUUGCGAGAUUCAGAGAGAAUCUGAUUUCGGGUUUGAGGUCUGGUUCGAUGACCAUUUGAAGCCCGUUGAGGCGUGGCCCAUCUCAUCAGGUCGGGUCAGCCAUUUCGUACCAAGUUGAAUCCCAGGUCAGGCCAGCCAUUUCAUUAGCCUAAGAUGGACCUGACGGACGAUGCGCUUGGAUAUUGCUUACUGCGACCAAAUGGACUCAUGGGCUCAUUAGAUGAUGAGUCUGGACCUGGUGUGUGUAAAGGCCACCUCAGCUCGAUCCAUAUUCGAUCGAUACUACAGAGAAGGUGGAUAUGAGGUAAAGGUAGAGUAAGCUCCAAGUCAUGUGGAGGUCAGUCGAGAUUGAACACACGUUCAUAGAAUCAUAGUAUCAAAUUCAAGUCAAAAUUUUAACACUACGAAACCGAAAAGCAUGCAACUCCGAAAAGCAUUGUUUCAGUCCAACAACCCAAACUUCCUUAAAAAACUAAGACCAAAACGACGACAUUAGGAAACGGAAAAUCAUGCAACUCAGAAAACCAUUGCUCUAGUCCAAAUGAGGUUCUUCAAUGCCUCAAGCUUUUCUAAACACCAUAGCCUGAACCUUUUCCUUUGCGCCUUCUUUACUUCACCAGAAACGUUCUUAAUGAGCUCUUCUUCAAAUUUGGGACGAGCAGGCAUUAGGCUGUGCACAAUGCUGUAAAUGCUCCUAGCCCUUGCCACACCCUAGGCGCAUACGCGUGCAUGUCCGACCUGAGUUAUCUCAUUACGCGCGCAGUUUGAUCUUCCCGUAUUGACAUCCCUGCUGUCUAUUCUCCUGCGAAUCCUUCUACUGGUGACUUCAUCCGGGUCCAUUUUCUUGCUCCUCAGUGCAUGUUCAUCUGCUUUUCCAUGUUAAUAGAUAUAGGAAUCCUAUGAGAAACAACAUUUGACAAAACAGAACCUAAUAAUAACAACAAAACUUGACUUCAUCCUCAGUGCAUGUUCAUCUGCUUUUCCAUUUCAAAGCAGCUGACGGCAUGAUUCGUACUUGGACUCCAAGAUGUCUAGAUUAUAGGGAAACCAGCCCUCUAUCCAAAACACACAAAGAAGUGUAUUUUCCGUUUAUACCAAUUAAGUGUGUUGAAGCAUGUCCCACAUGGCCACAUCGGAAACUUGUCGAAGCUUAAAUCCUCUUAUAUAGAAAGUUGAACUACUAAUGCCAUGAGGCCUUAAUUUUGUAUAAAACCAUACUUAUUGAAUUGCACACGUGCUUAAGUUAAGGUCAGUAUUGAUGGCAAUUAGUAGUGGGCCGCUGGGCCGUCUUAAAAAAACUGGUACAAAGGGCAAUUUAUAGAAGCAGUGUUGAGAUAAGGGCAAUUCACCUGUUCCUUUUAGAAGGAUAUAUACGAAUGAAGCAAGGUUUAUCUACUCACCCGUAAUGCGGCUCAGCCCUUCAUAAAAAAGUGAAAGAUCAAAAUUACUUUUACAGCAAGAGCAAUACCAGAAGAUGUAAUCUAAAUUAUUUAUAUUUGGUUCCCUUGAAAUCCUUUUGACUGCUUCAACAUACUAUAUGCAAACAGAACCAGAACCAAGUCCAGACUCACUCGUAAGAGGAAGUCCACCGGGGGUGGGAUAGGUCGGCACCCAAUGGAAAAAACAGGCUGAGACUCAGCCAAUCCACUCCAGCCCGUGGAAUCGACUGGCACCCAGCCCAAGCCAGUCCACAGGCCGACCUAAAAUUGACAGACCUUGGGACCGGCUCAAAUGACAACUAGCUGACGCCAGCGUGGUGUCGAGGGCAAGGAGCCACGGAGGCAAGGCAAAGACCAACUUCCCCACCCCCACUAAGCUCCAUCUCGACGCCGUCAACAUCGCCAACAUGAACAAUGCCGCCAAAUUAGCUGCGACGACGAACAUCAGCAACAGCCACAGCAGCACCGUGGAGUCCUCCUCCUUGCCGUCUCCGCGCCCGCUCGACCUCACUCUCAAAACCCCCCUCUUGUCCACCGACAGCGGCUACUUCACUGCUGCGAGCGGCUUCCGCCUGCUUCCCGCUUCCCGGGAAUUAUCCUUCCGCGAAAGAUCCCCCCGCGAAACUUGUAGGUUCGACCACCCCCCCUCCCCCACGAAACAUCCCCAUAUUUUCCUUCCGGACCAAGUUUGUUCCUCUUUUAUGUAAGAAACAAAAUCCCUGCCCAGCUUUAUAAUAAUUAAUUUAUAAUAAAAAAUAAAUAUUUUUAUUAUUUUAUAAUAAAAAUAAUAUUUUAAUAAAAUUGACUAGGCUAUUUUUUGUUAGGGAUAGAGAUGCAUUGGCCUAUUACUAUUCAUUAGAGUCUAUCGGGAAUGGAUAAAUGGGUUGGGUGCUGGCAUAAAGUCCUUAGAGGUGGACUUGCUCUAAUAGGUCUCCUCAUCCACAACAAUAUCCCAGCUUUCCCUUGUCGUGGUUUUCCCAUAUUUGUGCACCUUACUGCAAAGAGAGAGCAAGUUAACUUGUCAAAGAAAAACCAGAACAAUAGAUGCCAAUGCAGUUCAGAAAGCUUAUUUCCCUUCAUACCCAUUUCCAAAGUGCUCCUCCCCACGUCCUUGACCAACCUAGACAUGAGACAACAAAAACAAAGUUACAUCAGAUUAAAUUAUUGAAAGAAAAAGGUUCACUUCUGUUGUAACAAAUUGACAUUAGAAUCAAGCAACCACGCUAUGAAAUACAAAGUUAAAAUGUAACAAUUUACUGUGUCUUAAAGGAAUCUGUGAAAUAAAAUAGUUAAACCCUAAACAACACCACUGCAAAUUAGGGGUGGGCGCGGUUCAGUUUUGAUUGAAACCAAAACCAAAACCGCAAGUUUUUGCGGUUUGGUUCGGUGCGGUUUUGAAGCCAAAACCAAAAUGAAACCAAACCGUUUGGUUCGGUUCGGUGCAAUUUCAAACGGUUUCAGUUUGGUUUUUAAGAAAAAAUGUACGAUUUGCAAUUUAACAUAUUAAAAAGCAUUUCCCAAUAGUAAUAGGAAAAUGACAUUUGUUAUGUAAACAAUUAGCAUGUUGCAUGUAGUUGUGAUGUUAAAACAUGUUUGUGCAACAAAAAGGUGUCCCUUACAAUAUUUUUCAUAAAACAAGUUGAAUAAAUUUGAAUUCAUUAAACGUGAGCGAAAUUUUCAUACUAGAAUAUGUGAUAUCAUGCUUCAAAUGAGUGGCCUUUAGUAGAUCAUUGUUCGACUCUUGAUAACAAGAUUAGUCCACCCUUGUACAUAUAUGUGUGUGUGAUGGUAUAAAAUAACAAAGGUCAUUCAAGUUAAUGAACAAAAGAGAGUGAUGAAUGAUGAUAUUCUAGUGUGGUUGAGUCCAUACUAAGUGUAUGGAUUUUAACAAACGACCAAUUAAAACAUGAAAUCUAAUAUGGACAUUUAAUUAAAUGUUUAUUAAUAUUUGCGGUGCGGUUUUCAAAAGCCAAAACCGAAACCAAACCGUUUUCUAUGUUGCGGUUCGGUUACAAAACCGAAACCGUUUCAAAACCGCAAAACCAAACCGUUCGGUGCGGUUCGAUUUGGUUCGUGUUUCGAUUUCGGUUUUCGGUUCUAAGUGCCCACCCCUACUGCAAAUAGCAUAAGAAAAUUAAAAUUAACCCUAAAGAAAUUGGGAGAGAAGAAUAUGAAAAGGGAAUACCUUUCGGCCCUUUGAGUUAUUGGAAAAAACCCAACAGAGCAAAAGAUAAGCAAAAAUACAGGAGGAAAGAAAAUAAAUUUUCAACUUGUAAGAUUCAUACGCGAACAUAUUGGCGGUCAAAAGCAUUUCGGAACUCAGAGCCAUCAAGCUUUUUGAUCUGCAUGGAAAUUAUUUAUGAAGUUUGAGAUUCUUAUAGACGCUUUAGACACAUCGACAUAUUGAAAAAGCAAUAUUCAACAACCUAGUACCCAUGCUCCAUGAAAGGUUACAGAAAAUAUGAAUGACUGGACUCUGGAGUGAGAAAGUAAAAGGACUUACCGCAUACUUCAUAUCUUCUAAGUUUGUGUAGUCUACAAUCCCUGUUGUGCCUACAAAAAAGGCAUAGGACAAAAGCUAAAUCAAUCGAAAUUCUGAUGUCUCAUGAUCUAGGUCGUAGGAUUAAACUACUGAAAUAACACUAUAUGAAAUAGCAGUGUAUAUCCCAAAAAAAGUCUGAAAUCUGGUUGAUAAUUGAAGAGUUCGAAGGGAUUUACCUUUGGAUUCUUUGGCUUUCAGAUGGAGUUUGCUUAUGUGUGGGGGAGAGAGGUGGAGCGGCUAGAGCUUGAGUAUGGAAGAGAUGAAAAAUGCAGAGAGCACCUGUUUUGGCUGAAGCAACUCACACACUCUGGACAAAUCUGCAAAUGUCUAAAAGGGGGAAAAUAUAAAAAGAAACCUUAACAACUGAAUUCAAAGAAACAUUAUUACAUUGUAAAUAACAUUUCACAAAAAAAAAAAAAAACUAAACUAAACUAAUUACACUCGGAUUGCAAUGCUAUCAUUUAAUAAUAGGAAUUCCCAUAACUUAGCAGAAGACCUGCAUCUGCAAAGGAUUCUUUAAAACCUAUUUUUUUUAACAACCCCGCACCUGCAACACAUCCAGGCAAGGUAAACCAAUAGCACCCUCAUGCUGAGCUCUUCUGUGCAUAUAUACCCCUUAUAAGUAAUCUUAAUCAAUCAGUUAUCAUGAAUAUAGUCAGUUAUCAUGAAUAUACAACUUAUAUUAAUUUUCUACAAUAUCCAACACACAAAUAUAACAGAAGAGGAAACUUUUACUUAAGCAGCACAAAAUGAUAUCCUCUGCAUUUCAUUCCAAAAUCCAUCACUCUUAUGUCUUUGCCUGCACAGUUUUUGCUCCAACAUAGCACACCAUGAUGAUAGCACUAUCAAUAAUUAAGACAUAAAGAAAGGCUAUCCUAGCUAGGUAUUAUCAUUGGAGUAAACCAACAACACCAUAAGUAAAGUAGCAGACCAAAUUUUUUCUAGAAUUGAUGUCUUAACAUGUUUAAGUAGCGAAAAGAUUACAACACAUUGGAUGUGUUAACACAUCCAUAAGCUAAUGACUCCCUCUCCAGUUUACCGCAUCAUUCUUAAUGUAUUCAACAAUGCAGCAGUAAUUAAAAGUCCUUGGAAAAUGCCAAGCUACUACAAUGACAUAACGAAAACUAUAUCUCACCAUACCCCCUUGUUGGCAUAGACAGCAUAUCCGUCCUUGUUCAGGGUGAAUCAUUAUCCUGAACUCAAUUAUCAUCAUCGUCGAGAAUGUCAAACUUUAAAUCAACCAUGCAUGGAACAAAACCUAGAAAUUAAACAAUUAUCAAAGCUUAUGAAGAAUGCUAAACCCAACUAAUUCGAAACAUAAAGUAACCCAAAAGAGAGAAAACUUAUAAAUUUUACAUAAAUUAUAAUCCUUAACAGAAGGAUGGAACAAAGCAUGUUCAUUCUUGAGAAUAGGUGUAAUUUUGCACAUUGCAUAUAUGUACAUUAAGGACGGUGGUAACAUACCUUGUAAUUUGUACAAAUUAGGAUUUUCAUUCAAAGAACCAUAAUAUACACAAUUACAAAAACAGUGAUACAAACUUGUUCUUCUCUUAAGGAAAUUACUCACAGUUGAAAUUCUGAAUGGACAAAGUUUUGGCAUCCCUUUCCGACUAUAUUUGAUUAACCUUUUUUUAAUCCAAUGAGUGCCUUCAUGAGAGAGAGAGAGAGAGAGAGAGAGAGAGAGAGAGAGAGAGAGGAAUAUUCGGUGAAAAGUAUUGCCAAAUCACACAGAGAUCAAAAUCUUGAAUAUAUAUGUUUAACCAUAUCAAAGUGAGUGUGUGAAAGGGUGUAGUCUGCAGAAAGGGCAACAUUUUCACUGCUAGAAAGUUGGAAACUAAACUUUUACACAGAUAUUGGAUUUUAUUAAUUCCCUCCGCGAAUUGAAAAGCAAAUUGUUCGAGUAAUGCAGGUAAAUUCGAUAUACAUAUGCGUUGAUCUAUGUAAGACGGUUAUAAGUUAUAACUGUAUCGUCUUAACACAAAAAAUGAUCAUAAAUGUAAGUGUCUGUAUUAUGGAAGUAAGGGACUUGCAGCAAUUGCUAUGAGCUCUAACAGCAGUCACUCCAAGUACCCUAUUAUGGAAGUAAGGGACUUAGUAAGGGACUUACAUCAAUUGCUAUGAGCUCUACCAGCAGUCUCUCAAAGUGGUGCAAGGGCUAAAAUUAUAAAUAAAAAGUAAUUUAAACAAUUUAACUUAAUAAAAUAUUGUAAUUUAAACAAUGCCUAUAUAUUCAAACAUCCCAAAACAGGAAUGAACUUCCAGAAAACAUGCGCAUGAAAAUAAACGGCAUUACUCACCCAUUGAGUUGGACCAUCAAACUAGAGCGUAAGAAGGAUCAUCAUGUACCUAUGAAACCCAAAGGAAAAUUUUAGCAACCCCAAAGCUUGUAUGCAAGCGUGAAUAAGUAUGCAUGUAUGAAUCUAUUCAUAGUGAAGAAGGCUACCUUAAGAAAUAUUUGCAUCUGCAGCUUCAUAUGGCCAUACAACAAAAAGCACCGCAUAUGAUAACAAACCCCAGCUGCACCACAAAAGGAAUAUGAUCUUCCUCUCAACUUGUAUUUGUAGUUGUUACUGUAACAUCUGCAGACAGCAUACAUAAGCACUGAUUCGAUAAUUCUAAAGGGAAAAAAGUCCUUAUUCGAUAAUGCACCAAAUCCUAUCCAAAAACCAAGUGGGUGCCAUAUCCCUAGAUUAACAGAGCAUCUUUCUUUGUUCCAAAACAAAUUGCAAUUGGCUUUGGUAAAGUAGAAAGAUUACCAGAUACCGACUCUGUUCCAUUAUUCGACUGUCCUUUUAGUUCUGUCUCUCAACAUGGGAAAUACAAUAAGACAGUAAAAACAAAAGUUAGUGAUGCUAUUACAUAGUGAAAGAAAAUAAGACAUUCACAUAUUGAUAGCUAUUUACUGUCCUUUCUCAUCAUAAUCUUGGCCCCUAUAUAUACAUAUAUUGAAUUUUGAAAGCAAUGAGAGAAAUAUACCUUUGGGGCGUCACCGCCAGAAGGGUGAGUGAGGGAUCUAAGAUGUUUAAGAGCAGGAAUUUUUAAGUAAUUUGUGUGAAAAAGUUGAAGAGCUUCGAACAUAGUGGAGUGGGUUGGCCUGGGCUAAAAUAAAGAGGAUGAACUCUAGAAAGUAGAAAAUGUUGUUGUUCAACCAAACUCAAAAGUAAAGAAACCAUAUGAUUAACAUAUAAAUAAGUUUUAUAUACCAAUGUUUACAUGUACGUUGUUUGAGAAGGUAAAUUAGCAACAUAUACAGUGAUCAAAAGAUUAACAGCAAUAAACUGCUCAUUAUUCGAAAUAUACAAGAAAGUUGUCAUUCACAUGAUCCAAAUGGCAGAGGACAAAACAGAAGGAAGCAAAUAUUAUAGCAGCAUAAGUUGAAUAAUUGCAGCAAGUAAACAAAUAGAAAGGCUAGCUAGAUUACACAAUCCAGUUCUAGGUCGGACUAACCAUGUUAGCCAUCCGCCCACCACCAGCACCGUCGGCUUCUUAUUAAAAAUGUAGAAUAGAAGACUAAAAAAUUGGAAAUGAAAGCAGGUAACAUUGAGUUUUAAUAACCAAAAAGGGACACUGUUUAAGCAGCUCCACAACAGCAAUAAUACUUGGAUGAUGACCUGCAAAAACAGAAAAGAAAACACAAAUUAAACUAAAAAAAUAUAAAAUUUAACACUAAUCCAAGGAUUAAAUAUCAAAUAUAAAUUCAUUAGGAUUGGGACCUUUGCAUUGAGGAAUAUCUACUACAUUAUGAGUUCCCUCUUGAUAAAGCCCAAUCAGGGGGUUUUUCGAUGAGCCAAGAACGGCUAACUUUGCGUGACACCGCCAUCCCCACUAACACCAAACCCAGAUAAUAUCAAGAUCAAAACUAACCAAUACCAGAAAGAUUUUUUUAUUUAAAUUUUAAGAAAAGACCUAAACUUUACGAAAUUAAGGGGGAAAACAAAGUUAAGUAAAGCACCAAUUUGCAACUGUCAAAAGUGAAAUAUGAGACUCCAACUGUCUAGAAGAACUCCGUGGCCUCAUCGACGAUGACCGGAUGGUGGAGAUUGAACUGGUGCGUACACCCGAAACACCUGAUUAUACACCGAACAGAGAACAAAAUUUAAAUCAAGUCGAACAAUAAUUAUGAGAAAAUAAACUAAAAGGGAUUUGAGCUGAGAGUUACGAUUCGAAGUGCGGGCAAUGGAGGGUGCAGGUUAGCGGCGGCAGAGAAGGGGUUGAGCUUGGGUUCAGGUCCGUUUUAGGAGGUGGAGGCUCUUGAUAGAAGAUUGGCAUUGGAGUCGUUUUACAAAUCAGUUUCUUCCUGAACAUCCUAAUGUCAGCUUCUAGAGUUUCCUGUAAAAGAACAGACAACAUUCAUAAUAAGAAAAUCUCUCUAUGCAAUCGCAGAAAUCCCUCGGGUUUCAGGAAGCAAAUGGAAAAUGAAAUGCUUUUCUCCCGUAUCUCUCUCUCUCACCUCUGUCCCAUCUCUCUGUCUCCAAAUCGCAGAAAAGAAACCCUAAACAAAUCCCUGAAAUCCCUCGCCUAAAUCCUCCUACAUUUCUCUCGGACAACCCCCUCUUUCUCUUUGCAAACCCUAAACCAAAUCUCCUAAAUCCUAUCUCAGGCACCACACAUACAGCCAAGAAGCCAAGAUAUUAAAGCAAUCUCUAUAUAAUACUUUGGAACAAUGAAGAAAAAUGGUACUUACUUGUUCCUUGUCCAAAACAGUUGGUGCCGCCGCACAUUGUUAUCAAUUGUGGGUUGAUCAAAUCCUUCAUGGCUUAGACUGCAUGAAGAAUUAGAAACUAAAAGAUGAAUAUAUGCCGUAAAUCAUCAUAUAAAUGUAACUGCAUUUAAAAAAAGAAGGGAAUGACAAAAUUGAAUUCUAUUUCAUCAGUAUGUAACUGCAUGAAAAGUUACUUUGAAUGAAGACUCGAUCAAUUUCCCCAAAGUCAUUGUUAACUGAAAAUCAAUAUCAAACCCAUAAAUACCACAUUGAAUUUGACCAAGUUAAAGGAUAAAGGCAGUCGCAUCAUCGUAUUACUCUUUGGGAAGAUCUUCUAAUAAUGGUUCUUCCUUUUUCUUGCUCUUCCUCAGAACUGCCAUAAAAACCCCAGAGAAGCAUACAAAUUCAGAAAAGAAAAGGUUCAAAACUGCCAUAAAAAAAAUCCAGAAAGCAUACAAAUUUAUCAGAAAGAAAAGUUCAAAUUACAAAUACCAAAUGAUGUGAGUGAGUAGUGAGAGGUUGUGUUAGGCACCUGAAACACAUUUUGGUUUCAAUUGAAAGGGCCAGAGACAACAUCCACAUUCUUUUUUCUUGGGUGAACUAACCAAAUCAUAUUAUAUACUAAAAUGACAUAAAAAAUCAUUCACAAACUCACAACAAAAUAGAACAAAAAGAUUCACAAAAGAUUUGGGAGUUGAGACGCUAACAAAAACAUUUCUUUUCUAAACAAAUACACAACCGCUAAUCUGGGUUUGGUCAAUUUAACUAAAACGGUGCGCUAUUUUGCAUCUAAAUAUAGUAUAUCGCUUAAAUAAAAUUAAUAAAAAAUACACAUCCAAAGCUUUUAGUCCAAAGCUAGAAUUAGGAAUAACUGAGGAAGUUAAUGAAGGCAAAGCAGAGGGUAGGAUGCAGAACAUACCAAGAGACCAGUAGGCCAUCGGGGCCGGUCUGCCGAUGAACGCUGUGUACUGGUCGACAACGCCCAACGGAGUCGGCGCAGAAAAAAAGUAAAAGUCGAAACCACCCCCAAUGACUUUGUAGGUGAGAGAAGUCCCUAUGUAGAACACAUUCAUGCCAUUGCUGUUGAGCAGCAGAACGCAGUGCGCGUAAGCCUCGUUGCCCACAUUCCGGAGAUCCAUGUAAACUGGGUGGGACCCGUACAAAUCAGUGUUGAGAUUGAUCGCCGAGAAGUCAGUGGUGAAGAUGAUGUAUGGAUCGUUCGGGUAGAGCUUGAUCCCGUGCGGCUGAGAGUUCUCUUCGAGGCCGUACAAGGAGGAGUCUUUCGGCACUCGGGUGGAUAUCUUGAUGUCUGGUCCUUAAACACCAGUACUAGUCCAAUAAACCACUCCGCUUUUAUUGAUUUUCAAUUCAUGUUCAUUCGGGUCCCAAACAAGACUGAACGGCCCCGGAGCCGGGUUGUAGGUAUCUACAUAUGAUAUAAGUGCCCAGACGUGGCCAGCACUGCGGUUGACACCUAACUUCAUACCCGGUAAAAAUGUGUCUCCAGGAUAAUCACUUCAGCAGAUCGAGGGUGAUUUGAGGUGUUUUCCCGCUGAAUUGGACUUCGACCCAGGUAUGAAAGUUGUUCCUCUUAUCGAGAUCUUCAUUCAUGUAAAAUUUGGGAAUUUUAGAAUUGUUGAAUUCUUCGGCGAGUCAGGGCUACCAGCCGCCACGUGCUUCGGCGCGUGGCCCUUUGGCCGCCGUCCCAUGGCGGCUCGUGCGGUGAUGUAUGCAGGAAAACCUAAGGUUCCUCCUUAGGUUUUUCGAUGUACCAAACCCGAAUCCGCCGUCCUUUUUCCAAAAUUCUAACGUUUUCAUAGAGUUUUAUUAAACGACCUUUAAUUGUGUUUAGGUGCAUCGGUGGAAGUGACCUCAUUCUUGAUGGUUCGAGCGGCUUUCGGGCAAUGGAAAACUUGUGAGUAGACCCCUUCUAAACUUAUAUAUUGUUAUAAAAUAUUAGCCUAGCAUGCAUUCCAUAUUUCAUGAUUUGAAUAUGAUUUAUAAUAUGCUUUAUGGACUUUUAAUUAUGGUUUACGAAAUAGUUUGAUUUAUCGAAAUUACGUUUUAUUAGGUAUUGAAUUAUUGGAUUUGCAUAUAUGGAUUUCUAUGGUUUUCAAAUACGAUUUAUAUUACGGUUUUACGAACAUGAAUUAUUUUAUGGAUUUCAUGAAUACAAUUUAUCUUGGAUUUAUGAGAUGAGACUUUGAGCUAGUGAGCUCCGGGUUUGAUAUGAGUUUUGAGAUAUGUUUUUGGUACUUAUCUAGUGGGUUAUCAUACAGCACAUCCGCACACCACGGGUAUAGAUGUGUAUGGCCAUAGGACACAGAUGAUGAGGAGGAGUAAGAUAUGAUAUAUUAUAUACCCCCAGUUCACUAUCGAAAGCAGUGUCAGAUAACCUCACUAGCCAUGGCUAGUGUCGGUAUGGAUGUUAUGCUAUUUCAUACAGCUUCACCUUCGGGUGAUAGACAGGUUAUUUAGCUUCACCGUCGGGGUGAUGGACAUGUACUACCUUCGGCCAACUAUGAUAGCCUUAGUUGAGCACUUCACUGACAAGAUUUACAAAUUUGCCUUCGGGCAACGACAUUUUCAUUAUCAAGCACUGGAUUUUACAUAUCUACCUUCUAAAUGGAUUUUCAUGGCAUGCUAGGGUUUUUCAUAAAGCCUAUAUGUAGUAUUAUAUAUGUUUUCAAAAUAAGGGGUUAUUAUGUUCAUAAAUAAAAUGUUUUCCUAUUAUUAGUAUUAUUAAUAUAAACUUUGGUCCACUCACCUUUUCAGUUUUUGCGCCUCCUCAGGAGUUAGGAUCGAGGCACAUGAUCCCGGCAUCAUGGCAUGUUGAUAUAGGUAUCCUUGAAUCUUCUCAGUGUAGGUAUCAUUCCCUUAUUCAUAUCUUUUUAUAGUGAUUCUUCCCUAUUAUUUCUAAUUAGUUGUAUGCUCUAAACACAUUCCUGCUUUGGUAAUCGUUAUAACUACUUAUCUUGUAAUUGUUUGCAUGUUUAAAAUGGUUUUGUCACCCUUGGGCGUGGGCUAGCACGUGCCUACCCUGGUAUGUUGGGAUAUCGGGGUUGGGGCGUGUCAAAGAUAGAGAGUGAAUUUCUAGCAGAUUCAAUGGUUGUCUACAUUUUAAAAAGAGCUUGCCGAAAAGAUUGAUUCAGAUGAAAUAACAAAGGAUUUCAAUUCCAUUAAGGAUUGAAGGGCACAACUUGAAUAGGUAUUUUUCUUUUUAUUUGUUAGGUUGUUAUGACAAGAUUGACGAUGUAUGUUUCUUUAUAUUGUAAGUUGCAACUUUAAAGGUUUUCUUUGUUAAAUCUAGUUGAAACUUGAUUCAUUUAGAGUUAAAUUUCUUACUUCAAAUUGUUGCUUUUAGGCUUAUUAUUGUGUAACUUUAUGCAAGCAACAAAAAAUUUUAACCAUUUGAUUUUGUACUAAUAAUUUUAGCUUAGCAUGCCACCAAAUAAUUCAUGGCUCCGCUAUUGAAAUCUUAGCAUGUGCAAUUUCAAAGUCUCGGUUGCCAAGUCUCCCCAGGCUGUUCAGCACCCAUUCUGAAUCUUGAUCGAGAUCUAGAGCAGUGCAAGUCAAGGAGUCUUCAUUCUCAUUUGAAACAAUGCUAAAAUUAUACCUCAGCUUGGACUCCUUGGGCAAAAUAUACCCAAAUGUAUUAGUACUACUUGUGGAUACACCACUAGUCCAAAAAAAUCACCUCUCCUUUCUUAAUCUUCAAUUGGUGAGGGUCCCAAUCAAGCGUGAAAGGCCCCGGCGCACGGUUGGCUUUAGUUUCCCAUGAUGAAAUCCACGAAACAUGGCCGUUUGUACGGUUGACACCCAAUUUCAUGCCCGGUAAAAAGGUGUCAACUGGUAAUCAAAGCUUUACGUUCACUUCUUCUUGUACAAAAUUUCCCGAAUCCAAAAGGAUAGCCACAACAGUAGCAAUACUGUUACUUAUGUUGGUAGACCUAGUAGUUUGUGGAGCUGAGAAAAACGCAAUUGGAUUAGGAUCCCCCCCGCAUAAUUUUCAAGGUUUUAUUCCUGUCCAAGGCAAGAGUGCGUACAAAAUAGGGGCUUUACGGUUGCAAAUCCAAGCAAUGUUGCCAUCGGCCUUGUUGCUCUGGAUAGAUACGUAGCUGGUGCUUUUGGAACUGUCGUCGUGUACACAGGAACUGAAACUGAACUUCUCCGAUGCAGAGACCAAAGAAUUUGAGGAGUUGAGAGUGUCUCCUGCUGGUUUCAGUGUGUCCCUUGCAGGUCCACAGUCAGCAUGCAAAAAUGAUUAAGUUGAUUAUUGCCAUGAUUAAUUAAUGACCAUAACAUGAAGUUUAAUUUCUCCAUAUGAUGAGGAAGAAAGACAUGAAAUCCAUCACCAGAACAUGAUUAAGAAUUUAAUCAAGCAACGCGUCUCAGUUAAACCAUUACAAUCUUUGUACAAGGCAUUUAUAAAUUAAAAAAAAAGGGAAUAAAGUAAUAAUUACAAGUUUUACACAAGUGACCAUUUAUUACAAUGGUGGAAAGGUGUUAAGCUUUUGCAUGACGGUGUGAGUUCGAACCUCGUCGGUAGUUAAUCUACGAACCCCGUCGGUAGUUAAUUUAACUUCUAAUCUAAUAAAAUCUAUUUUUUGACCAAAAAAAAAAUAAUUACAAGUUUUACUAAAAAUUUAGGGGUGUGAUAUCCACACACCCCUUUUUACUUCUCUUACACCUUUUUUAUUUUCGACCGUCGGAUAUGAUGAAUUGAAGAAAAUCAACGGACAAAAAUUAACAAGGAAUGUGUGAGAAGUAAAAAGGGGUGUGUGGAUAGCACACCCCAAAAUUUAUCGGAAGACUUGAUCACCCAUUUGUAUGCUGACAACGGUGACUAGAUUCACAACCUCUUUCCCACGUAAAUCACAUCAUCCAAUUUUAUUUUUCUUACAACAUAUCACGUAUCUGUCAUAUGCAAGACUUUUUUUUUUUGUUUAACAUGAAAACGAAGACUUUUUUGGAAUAUGGAGAGUGAAAUUGCAGCGGAAGCAUCCUAGAUUUUUGAUCGAAUAUUGAGUUUGGUUUCAUGCCAGACUUCCUGGAUCAAACACACCCUAAAAAAAUAUAUAAAAAACCAAUAAGGUCAUGUGAUACGACAUCAUUUCAAGAGGAAAGGUACAAACAAUCUAGUUUCUAUACUAGGAAGAUUCACUCGAACAAAUUCUUGGAAACUAUGACUCAAACAAAAUUCUAGGAAUUCAGUAUUUUUAACAAAUGAUAAGCGUUUAAGAUAUAUUCUUUAUAAUAUUAGAGAAAUCGAACGGUUGAUCUAUAACUCGCAAAGUGGUUGUAGCUCAAGUAAUUUUACUCCCCAAUUUUACAUAAAACAUAAAAUAAAAACAAAUCCUAAUUUACAUGGUAAUUUUUUUUCAUAGCUAGGGACAACUUCGACUAUGGUAAUGCAAUUAAUAUACACUAGUUUUGGAUGGAGAAGUUUCAAGAUUGAGUAUGGGAUGGGGAGGGGCGAGAGACUUGGAUGGAGAGGUGAGGUUUUAUGAGUUAAACAGUGAUGCAAGGAUGUAUUACUUAAAACUUUAGAGACCGUAUGUUGGGCUAUAUAUAAUAUACGUUACAUGGAUAAUUGUUUAACUCAUAAACGUUUUGAGUGUUUCUAACAUAUGCUUAUCAAAAGCCUUCUCGUUCCAUCAAACAAUACGAAAAUUUUCAAUUGAAUGAAAGACAUACUAUUUUAUAUAUCACAGUACUUCAUGGAUCAUCAUCAUCACAUAUCCUUAAUUCAAAGGUAAUAAAUGAGCAUCUAGUUUUAUUUUAAUUUUAUUUUAUAUAGGGACUACAGAAGCAAGCACCCUCUGUAAAUUAAACUCUAAAACUUCUCAAGUAUCUUGAAAGGUGCCAAAAGCCAUCAGCCAACUCCAGUUGAUGCAUAACCUCCUACAUUUACAAAAACAGCGUCGCCGUUAAUUUAUUGACUUCUUCCCAGGACACAUACCAAUUUGCGAAAGUGGUUUGACUGAUGCUAUAAUUAGUCGAGUAAAGUACAGUCUUUUCAAUUAAGCAGAUGCAAAACACUUAGUUGAUGCACUACAAAUAUGAUUUUUACCUUUAAUUAACGCGCUUCAAAAUCAGAACUGGACUUGUAGUUUGCUGAAGCAACAGUUUCAAGUUGCUGAUUCCCACUUAUACCAGCCUCCACCGUCCUCCUUCCAACAAAAAAUGCUGGCUUUGUUGGUGAUGCUAAUGGAAAGCUUUCAUUUGUCAACAUAGAUAUGACAUCUGACAUGGUAGGGCGAUCUGCUGCAUUUUCUUCUACGCAAAGCAGACCGACAUGGAUGCAUCUUAACAGUUGCUCUUUAAUAAACGAAUUUCCUAAUGUUGGAUCCGUUAAUUCUAGCCCUGCACCUUUUUUCCAUAACUCCCAUGCCUGAAGAACAAGGAUUGCAUUUCAUUCUAAAGAAGAAAAAUAUGAUUAUAAAUUUUAAGAGAGAGAUUUGUUUGUCAUACAUAUCCUACUAAAUUGAGUGCGCGAUCGUCAUUGUAAAAGCUGUUGUUUUUCCUUCCACUUAUGAUUUCAAGCAUCAAUACCCCGAAACUGUAGACAUCAGACUUUACAGAAAUAAUUCCCCCCACGGACUCUGGAGGCAUGUAACCACUACACCAAAUGAAAAAGAAAAAUAGUCAGUAUACUUAUCUGGAAAAAUGCGUGUUUAGCAGUCAAAAGGGGAGGACCACGUCAAUAUGAUGCAGAAAUACUUACAGUGUCCCCGCAACCUUUCUAGUGUUUGCUUCCAAUUCAUUUUGGGUGAAAAUCCUUGCCAUACCAAAAUCUGAAAUUUUUGGGUUCAUGUUUUCAUCAAGUAGUAUGUUACUAGCUUUUACAUCUCUAUGAAUUACUUUCUUUCUUGAGUAUUUGUGCAGAUAAAGCAACCCUUGAGCAAUUCCUUCGAGAAUGCUAAAACGCUUCUUCCAAUCUAGUAGUAGACCUCUGAUUGGAUCUGUCCAAUAUGUUGAGUUAAGUAGGACUAAUAUUAAUUAAUAGUAGUACUCUAUGAACUUUGACAGUAAAAUAAAAAUCAGAUAGUAAAUUUAACAAAUGAAAUCAAGUAUCUUGGUUCCUCACCAAAUAAAAAGUGGUCCAAACUUUUGUUCUGCAGAUACUCAUAUAUCAACAUCAUUUCUUCACCAUGAAUGCAAAAUCCGAAAAGGUGAACCAGGUUUGUAUGUUGGAGUUCAUAUAUAAGUAUCAGUUCAUUCUUGAAUUCUGAUGUUCCUUGCCCUGAACAUUUCGAAAGCCUCUUCACAGCUAUUUCUUGUCCCGUUGCCAAUUUCCCCUGAAUUGAUAAUCCAUAUCAUGCUUUUGCUGUCAUUUUUAGGCAAUUGAAGCUAAUUCCAUUUUUUUUUUCUUACAGCUUUUGAAUUAGAAGCAGAAAUUUUUGUUUUUUCAAAAUGUUACCUUAUAAACCGGUCCAAACCCUCCUUGUCCUAGCUUGUUUUCUUCAGCAAAGUUUCUUGUGGCAGCCACGAUGGAUGAAUAGCUAAAAACGCUAAAAUCAUGAUGUCGCUUAGAUUCAUGAAGAUAAGCAUUUCGUUCUCAAGCGUUGUCCGGUUCUCACCUAUACAGAUCAAUUAUAAGAAAUUAAAGUUUCAAUGGAGACAACAAUUGUCAAAGAUGUGAUUAAUAAUCCUGUAUUACUGGUGCACAUGAUUUAAAGAAAUAUACCAGCUGAUGCAAGGGCUGAUCUUCUUCGUCGGAGUAGAUAGUACGCGGUGCAAAGCACUAGAGCAGCAGCUAUAGAAAUGCCAAUCCAAACCCAUUUAUCUGCUGCAUCAUAAACAAUUAGCUAGCAACAUAUGCAAUCAGUGUAACACACACGGACAUGUACGCAUUAAUUGUCUUCAAUUUUUGGAUGAACUAGGUCUUGCAGGUUUCUUCCGGAAAACGGAAAAAUUCGAGACAGAGAGCAGAACUUAAGACAACAAUAACAAAGAUAGAGGUACCUAAUAAUACUGAUUCCACGCGUGUCACAGAUUUCCGGCUCAAAUCGGGUUUGCAGCCUCGGUAUAUAUCCUUCGGAUCAAGAAAAGAAAACCCUUUUGGGCAUUCGCAGGUUGGCCUUUUAUCUGGUUUGAGCAUACAGGUACUGUUGUAACCGCAAACACCAACGCCCAGUCGUAGGCAAAUAUCAUCCGGCAUAUACACCAGAGGACUAAUCCAACUUGCAUUUCCCGUGAAGUUUUUCUGGUGAGAAUAUAAAGCGAAAAUCCCAUCAAAAUCAAGAGUUGCCCUUAUGUAGUUGUCCCUCACCGACACUCCCUCUGUCCCCUUAAGAGGGACUCUUCCAUCAUUUUCUCUUAGAACAAACAUGUCCCCUGAGCUGCUGAACACCAAUCGUUUGCCUUGACUACCUGGCACGUUCCCUGACGUGGUCUUCGUGGAGAAGUAAGGGAUGUUGGCAUUAUCUGUUGUGACGGAAAUGAGCACGAGGUUUCCAUCACCUUGCAAGCUCAGCCGGAACCGCCCUUUUGUGUAGUUAGUCUCCGAUUGUCUACACGAAAGCGUCCCGUUUCUCUCAAUUGUCUGUCCAGGCAAAACGGUGUCUGUAGGAUUGCUGAAGGUCUCCCACAAGCUCCCCGAGUUUUGGUGUUGAAGGACGAAGUUUCCGGUGUCAUUCAUGACCCCGUUCGCAACAGUCCCCAAGGUUAUUUCGGAUUUCCAUAUCUCUCCACCCUGAGGAUUGUUAAGAACUAGUCCACUGUUGGCAGUCAAGUUCAGAACUGAUCCCCUAGGUGCAACCAUGGGGUUGUUACCGUCAUAUGCAUACCAAAACUACGGUUUUGUCUGGGAUUUUCGCAUACCAUAUCGAAAGCAAGAAACGAUCAUUGUUUCCGAGGGGCGAAAAUCCAAACGCGAAAUCACCGGAAGGAGAAAGCCAUGAUGAGGAGUCGCCUGUAGUUGCAGUUAGAGAACUCCCAACUGCUACUCUUCCAUUAUUUUGGGAAAUCACAGAAAUUGGUAGCAAAAACAAAGAGGAGAACAAAAGCAUCUCUACAGAAAGAGCCACUGCCAUUGCAAAAGCACCAAUUUUUCAACUUGGCUUGAUUGAUUAGCUAUAUUUCUUAGUAAAGCAUUGGUCCUUGUUAUAUCUUUAAGUAAAUGCGUGUGCACCAUGUGCCUGUCAUUUUCUAAGUUUUUGCCUGGAAUUAAAGGCGUCUACACCAUUUUUUGAAGUCACACACAACAAUAUCUCCGGGCCUACAGAAUAAAUUCUCCGAACCUACACAUAUCACAAGAAUUUCACUUUGAAAAAAAAAAUAUAAUGAAUAGUUCUAUAUAUAAUGACACCGAGACUUUUUGUGAUUGAAUUUAUUCUCUCUCAACUCCUUUGUAAUGUUGCAAGUUGGAGCAAUAUUGACGUAAUUAGCAAUGGUCCGCUGACUUGUCUCUCUCAAAUCUCUUAUCAUCCUACUCUCAUCCCUCGUCUGUUUUAUGAUUCUACUUACUUAAGCACUUAUAAAUGUUCCAAAUCAGCAAAGGACUUGUAACUUAAAUAAUUAAUAAUAUUUAUCACUACACUCGAGAUUCUAGGUUCCAAAAUAUAAUAUAUAAUAUAUAUGAAUGUUUCCGAACCAAAAGGACAAGUAAAUACGAGCAUGACUCACGCUGCAUGGGUCGGCCAUUCAAGUCCACCAGUCAAAAUUCAACAAUGGGGCCCACAAAGAAAAUUUGAAAAAGUACAUGCAGAUUGGGGACGGAUACAAAGAAAAUCUGAAAACAGACCUCCAGAACCAAACAAAGACGACUAAGCCUUUAAGUCAAGUGACAAGAGACUUAUAUCUUCACAAAAACAAAGACGACUAAGUCUCAAUUUCUGUAUUCACAAAAAAAAAAGUACUAACUGAAGUUUUUAAUGUAUGAUUACGUCGUUGGGGUAAAACACCCGAUGCCGAGUUGAGAUAAUCACAGGGUUGGGGAAUCAAGAACCUCUUCGAAUGUCACAAUCUAGCGCAAACGGAUGUAGAGACUCAAACCACUUAUUUUAAAUCAUACGGCCUUCAUUAGCCUAUCCUAUUGACCCACAUGGUCCAAAUCUGUCUCUCCCCUCUCUUGAACGGUUUGGAUAUCUCGAUUUGUCGAUUUUGGAUUGCGAGAUUCAAAGAGAAUCUGAUUUCAUGUUUGAGGUGAGGUUUGACGACCAUUUGAAGCCCGUUGAGGCGUGGCCCAUCUCAUCAGGUCGGGUCAGCCAUUUCGUACCAGGUUGGAUCCCAGGUCAGGCCAACCAUUUCAUUAGCCUAAGAUGGACCUGACAGACGAGGCGCUUGGAUAUUGCCUACCGCGACCAAAUGGACCCAUGGACUCAUUAGAUGAUGAGUCUGGACCCUGGUGUGUGUAAAGCCCACCUCAGCUCGAUCCAUAUUCGAUCGAUACUACAAAGAAGGUGGAUAUGAGGUAAAGGUAGAGUAAGCUCCAAGUCAUGUGGAGGUCAGUCGAGAUUGAACACACGUUCAUAGAAUCAUAGUAUCAAAUUCAAGUCCAAAUUUUAACACUACGAAACCGAAAAGCAUUGUUUCAGUCCAACAACCCAAACUUCCUUAAAAAAACUAAGACAAAAACGACGACACUAGGAAACGGAAAAACAUGCAACUCAGAAAACCAUUACUCUAGUCCAAAUGAGGUUCCUCAAUGCCUCAAGCUUUUAUAAAACACCAUAGCCUGAACCUUUUCCUUUGCGCCUUCUUUGCUUCACCAGAAACGUUCUUAAUGAGCUCCUCUUCAAAUUUGGGACGAGCAGGCAUUAGGCUGUGCACAAUGCUGUAAACGCCCCUAGCCCUUGCCACACCCUAGGUGCGUACGCGUGCAUGUCCGACCUGAGUUAUCUUAUUACGCGCGCAGUUUGAUCUUCCCGUAUUGACAUCCCUGCUGUCUAUUCUCCUGCGAAUCCUUCUGCUGGUGACUUCAUCCGAGUCCAUUUUCUUGCUCCUCAGUGCAUGUUCAUCUGCUUUUCCCUGUUAAUAAAUAUAGGAAUCCCAUAACAAACAGCAUUUGACAAAACAGAACGUAAUAAUAACAACAAAACUUGACUCCAUCCUCAGUGCAUGUUCAUCUGCUUUUCCACUUCAAAGCAGCUGACGGCACGAUUCGUACUUGGACUCCAAAAUGUCUAGAUUAUGGAGAAACCAGCCUUCUAUCCAAAACACACAAAGAAGUGUAUUUUCCGUUUAUACCAAUUAAGUGUGUUGAAGCAUGUCCCACAUGGCCACAUAGGAAACUUGUUGAGGUUUAAAUCCUCUUAUAUAGAAAGUUCGACUACUAAUUGCCUUGAGGCCUUAAUUCUGUAUAAAACCAUACCUAUUGAAUUGCACACGUGCUUAAGUUAAGGUCAGUAUUGAUGGUAAUUAGUAGUGGGCUGCUGGGCCGUCUUAAAAAAACUGGUACAAAGGGCAAUUUAUAGAAGCAGUGUUGAGAUAAGGGCAAUUCAUCUGUUCUUUUUAGAAGGAUAUAUAUGAAUGAAGCAAGGUUUAUCUGCUAAUGCGGCUCAGCCCUUUAUCAAAAAGUGAAAGAUCAAAAUUACUUUUACAGCAAGAGCAAUACCAGAAGAUGUAAUCUAAAUUAUUUAUAUUUGGUUCCCUUGAAAUCCUUUUGACUGCUUCAACAUACUAUAUGCAGACAGAACCAGAACCAAGUCCAGACUCACUCGUAAUAGGUCUCCUCAUCCACAACAAUAUCCCAGCUUUCCCUUGUCGUGGUUUUCCCAUAUUUGUGCACCUUACUGCAAAGAGAGAGCAAGUUAACUUGUCAAAGAAAAACCAGAACAAUAGAUGCCAAUGCAGUUCAAAAAGUUUAUUUCCCUUCAUACCCAUUUCCGAAGUGCUCUUCUCCCCAUGUCCUUGACCAACCUAGACAUGAGAGAACAAAAACAGAGUUACAUCAGAUUAAAUUAUUGAAAGAAAAAGGUUCACUUCUGUUGUAACAAAUCGACAUUAGAAUCAAGCAACCACGCUAUGAAAUACAAAUUUAAAAUGUAACAAUUUACUGUGUCUAAAAGGAAUCUUGAAAUAAAAUAGUUAAACCCUAAACAGCACCACUGCAAAUAGCAUAAGAAAAUUAAAAUUAACCCUAAAGAAAUUGGGAGAGAAGAAUAUGAAAAGGGAAUACCUUUCGGCCCCUUUGAGUUAUUGGAAAAAACCCAACAGAGCAAAAGAUAAACAAAAAUACAGGCGGAAAGAAAAUAAAUUUUCAACUUGUAAGAUUCAUACGCGAACAGAUUGGUGGUCAAAAGCAUUUCGGAAUUCAGAGCCAUCAAGCUUUUUGAUCUGCAUGGAAAUUAUUUAUGAAGUUUGAGAUUCUUAUAGACGCUUUAGACACAUCGACAUAUUGAGAAAGCAAUAUUCAACAACCUAGUACCCAUGCUCCAUAGAAGGUUGAGAAAAUAUGAAUGUCUGGACUCUGGAGUGAGAAAGUAAAAGGACUUACCGCAUACUUCAUAUCUUCUAACUUUGUGUAGUCUACAAUCCCUGUUGUGCCUACAAAAAAGGCAUAGGACAAAAGCUAAAUCAAUCGAAAUUCUGAUGUCAUGAUCUAGGUCUUAGGAUUAAACUAUUGAAAUAACACUAUAUGAAAUAGCAGUGUAUAUCCCAAAAAAAGUAUGAAAUCUGGUUGAUAAUUGCAGAGUUCGAAGGGAUUUACCUUUGGAUUCUUCGGCUUUCAGAUGGAGUUUGCUUAUGUAUGGGAGAGAGAGGUGGAGCGGCUAGGGUUUGAGUAUGGAAGAGAUGAAAAAUGGAGAGAACACCUGUUUUGGCUGCAGCAACUCACACACUCCGGACAAAUCUGCAAAUGUCUAAAGGGGGGAAAAUAUAAAAAGAAACCUUAACAACUGAAUUCAAAGAAACAUUAUUACAUUGUAAAUAGCAUUUCACAAAAAAAAUAAAAUAAAAUAAAAUAUACUAAACUAAACUAAUUACACUCGGAUUGCAAUGCUAUCAUUUAAUAAUAGGAAUUCCCAUAACUUAGCAGAAGAUCCUGCAUCUGCAAAGGAUCCUUUAAAACCUAUUUUUUUUAACAACCCCACACCUGCAACACAUCCAGUCAAGGUAAACCAAUAGCACCCUCAUGCAGAGCUCUUCUGUGCAUAUAUACCCCUUAUAAGUAAUCUUAAUCAAUCAGUUAUCAUGAAUAUACAACUUAUAUUAAUUUUCUACAAUAUCCAACACACAAAUAUAACAGAAGAGGAAACUUUUACUUAAGCAGCACAAAAUGAUAUCCUCUGCAUUUCAUUCCAAAAUCCAUCACUCUUAUGUCUUUGCCUGCACAGUUUUUGCUCCAACAUAGCCUGCAAUGAUGAUAUAGCACUAUCAAUAAUUAAGACAUAAAGAAAGGCUAUCCUAGCUAGGUAUUAUGAUUGGAGUAAACCAACAACACCAUAAGUAAAGUAGCAGACCAAAUUUUUUUUAGAAUUGAUGUCUUAACAUGUUUAAGUAGCAAAAAGAUUACAACACAUUGGAUGUGUUAACACGUCCAUAAGCUGAUGACUCCCUCUCCGGUUUACCACAUCAUUCUUAAUGUACUCAACAAUGCAGCAGCAAUUAAAAGUCCUUGGAAAAUGCCAAGCUACUACAAUGACAUAACGAAAACUAUAUCUCACCUUACACCCUUGUUGGCAUAGACAACAUAUCCGUCCUUGUUCGGGGUGAAUCAUAAUCCUGAAUUCAAUUAUCAUCAUCGUCGAGAAUGUCAAACUGUAAAUCAACCAUGCAUGGAACAAAACUUAGAAAUUAAACAAUUAUCAAAGCUUAUGAAGAAUGCUAAACCCAACUAAUUCGAAACAUAAAGUAACCCGAAAGAGAGAAAACUUAUAAAUUUUACAUAAAUUAUAAUCCUUAACAGAAGGAUGGAACAAAACAGGUUCAUUCUUAAGAAUAGAUGUAACUAGUAAUAGGCCUGCGCGCUGCUGCGGGACUUGAAUGCACCAGCCUUAACAACAUGAAUAAGACACAUUUAACAUGAAAAAAAUUCAACAUAAUCAUGAACGAACAAAAAGGAUAGCUGAGUGAACAGUGUUCGUAAGUAAAACAGCUUAGUUUUUAUAUACAUUCAACCAAGCUGAUUACAAAAGAUGUGAUUGUAAAAAAUGUUCUGCUUACCUGAGAAACAAAAGCAACAUGCAUUUUACACAUACAAGACAUCUGAUAUUAAACCUAAAAUCAUGUAAUUCUGUAUGAAGUGGAGAAUAAUGCAGAAAGAUGGUUUUCUAUAGUGCUGCCAAUGACAAUUAAUUUCUCAUGAAAAAAAAGAAAAGAGAAACACAGGUAUAAAAGAAUAUUAUUUUUUAUAGUUGCAAACAUUAUGAAUUCCAAAAAGAAAAACUACAGAUAACACUUCAAUCACAGAUCUAAGCAUCUAAAACGUGGCAACCCAGAUACCAUUCAAGACAUUGCUCAGCAUCAUGGAUAAACUAACCUAUCUGUGUCCCUGUGCUCACUGCAUGUCAUAUACACCCGACCAACUGGGCAUAGGAGCAUAAUGAGGAAAACUUUCAGCACCAUUUUGUACCUGAAAAAUGAGGGAGGAACUAAUUAAAGCGUUCCUCACUUAGAAUAAAUAAUGCAUGCAUAAUAGCCAAAUGGACAUUGCGCAUAUAAAUUGUUGUGGCAAUAACUUGCAAUAGAAAACGUAGUUAAAAAUAAGAUAUACGAAAUACCAACAUUGCAAUGGUAUUUUUUUUUUCCAUUCGAUUGUACUGAAGCAUGCAUCUUAAAUUAGGUACUACGUGAGGUCUCUAUAAUGAAAUGGGAGAUUGAAUACACUUGACGAAACUGAAAAUUCAAAUAUGCACACGCUCCAUAGUGUAUCUUCACAACCAAAAGAAACGUUUAUAUAUACGACAUAUGUUUGACAUUGUUUUUCCCCACUCAAAUCGUCUUGAGAAAAUUUGACUACUAAAAACUACAAAACUUUGAUUAAAGAAUCAAAUAGAAUAGCAUGAGAAAGUUAUUAUUACACCAUACCUGACUUUUUUGCAUAUAAAAACACCUGUAUUUCACCUGAUUUUGUAAUGAAAUACAGAUGCUUGUAGUUCACCAGUACAUAGCUGCCUGUCAUUUGUUGUCUUCUUCGGGUUCAAGAUCCUUAUAUUGUCUGAGACGUGAAAGAAUCAGAAAUUGUAUACAGUUUGAUAAUGAAACAUGUAAUGUGAUUAUGUGACAACAAUGCACUCCUCUCUCUCAGAGAGAUAAACAAAGAUAUCAAAAACAGAGAGGCAAUGUUAAGAUAAACAGAAAGGCAAUGUCACAUUGUUUUGCAUGAUCUUGAAAAUUGGGGAUAAGGUAUUCAAAGUGCUAACAAACACGUGCAAAUGGGGAUAAAAAAGGGGAUAAAUUGAAAAAUAUAUAUGCUCUUAAUCGAGAACUUCAUCAAAUAAACAAUAAAAUCUAAUGUAAUCUGUCCAAAACCAAAGAGAGUGAUAAUUUGGAGGCACUAUAAUGUCUUGGGCAUCGCAUACUUGCGGUAUAUGAUUGAUGCAUCUGUUGCUCAAUCAAAUCAUUUGCUUGGCUAAAAAAGUUAUUUUUACAAUAAAUAGAUUCGCAUCCAAUUUAUGAGAAAUCAUGCAAAAGUAAAUGUAAAUGAUAACGGAAUCAUGAAUGCGAAUAAGAAACACAUACAUGCCAAAAAGAAAACCUACUAUAGUGUGUCAAGUUACUUGCAACAUAAUUUUUUAUGCCAUUAUCCAUUUCGCAAUACUUUAAAAAAAUUUCGUUUGAAAAAGCUUUGCUAUGAUUUUUAGGUUUGGGAAAAAUAAUACCAUAAAAAUUAAAAAACAAUUACUAAAAAUCAUGGCCUGUUAAUAGCAAAAUACACUCCUCAACAAUGUAUAUGAACAUGUGAGUUGAAAAUUUGAAAUAUUCAACAACUAAAAGAAAGAAGCAAAAUCAGAAGAAAAGAAAGAGAUACUCACUCAAAAAUAAAGAUGUAAUAAUGCCAGGCUUCUUCUCCUCGGCAUCCAGAAUUCCAUUGUUGUCUCCAUCUUCAACCUUCAAUGUAUUUAAAAUAUGAAAUGGAAAAAACCCAGAAGAAAUCAUUACAUAAAAUAAAAUUAUCCAAGUAAAAUUAAAGGAUGGAUAGAAAAGAAAUGAAGGCAGUUUAUUCGGACUUAAUUAGAGACUUACUGAAUAAGCUUGAAAUCUAUCUCACACAUCUCUUAAACUUCAACCCCUAUCCUCCUUGCCUCUGUAAUAUGCACACAUAUAGAAAAAGAAAUCGACUUUAGAACCUACAUUGAUACAUAUCUUGUGUGAGUAGGUCUUUCCUGCUUUUCCCCAAUCAUGCAUAUCAAAGAAACGAAAAAGAAGGAAAUCACCCAUAUAUAUAAUACCUUAAGUUUAAAUGCAUCCCAAUUUUGGGUUCCAACGUCACAGAAAGAAUGUCUUAUACAUAAUUUAACAGUACCCCCGACAUCGGUCCAUCCAUUCGUAUUAAUAGUUAUUGUCUGCACAAACCUCAAUUACCUUACAAUCUAUCAUUAUUGACAUAAAGUUCAUACAAUAUGGGACAUCAUGACCUCUCUUUGGCCAGCACCAGUUUUUCCAAAAUGAAAUCAACUAUUACUGCAUUAAUUAUGGGUCCAUCUGGCCAAUUCAUUGAAUUCGCAGACCCAAAAAUUUCACCAAUUAACUGAAUUUACAUACAAAUGGGAGAAGUACAAAAACAAAGACAAUGGCAUAAAUUAUACCAUAAAAAUUACACUACGAAAAAUUUAGAGACCAAAAUCCUUGUUAACAGAAUUUAUUCACAUUAAAAGACACAAUUUCGGUUCAAAAAACUAUCAAAUUUAAACUUUGAUAUCAUAUGAUAAAAUCUUAAUUAAACUCACAAUCUCAAGAAGUUGAAACCAUGUUAAGUAAAAGAAACAAAUUGAAAAAAAUUAAGAUGUAAAUAUUGAUAAGAACAACAAAAGUGGCAAAUACAUUAUACACAGAUAGGACCCUGAAAUAUCGGAACCAGCAGCAACAAAUAGAAUUAAGAAGAAAAAGGAUUAGCAGACUUAAUAAAUGAGAAAUAGGAUAACAGGUACGAACUCAGUUUUUCCACUAUGAAUAAGAGAUCCAGUGGCAUAACCUAACAUUAGGUAGAAUCAAUGCUGGUUGAUUGAAUUUUCAUUCCCUGAAAAUUCAGAAAAUGAUGUGUUUUGAUCUGCAGAUAGAAGCAUUCUAUAUAUAUAAAAAAAAAAUAUAUGGAGACAUGAUGAGGUUCAGAAACCAAACCAUGUCGGUAAAAUCCUCUUGGCAGGUUGCUCAAGGUUGACCUCCUAGCCCUUGGACCAGUCAGGAGACUUGGCCUCCUGCUUUCAAGUUUGGAAGGGAAGUAAAAGGUUCAGCCAAUAAGUAAAAGAAUUGAUUCAGAGGAUAGAAUCAAAAUUUCAAAAAUAUUAUUUGAUGCGAUUAAAACUGUUCCCAAUGAUAAAAUGAAUAAAAAAAUCCAUUGGAAUAAAAGAAAAAGAAUGAUUAAAAUUAUUCACAACCCUUGCUGUUUUUACCUAACCAUUUGUAGGAUCCAUAAAGGGCCAAAAAAAGUUUUUUACUUCUCCUCUAGUCCCAUAAAUUUGGAUUCCAUCUCGUCCAAGCAAACUAACAAUCAUUACUAUACUUUGUUUUAGCAUGCGAACACAAAUCUCAAAAAAAAUAGAUAAUUCAUUUACAAAUUUAAAUUCAAUUUUUAUAUCUCGAUAUUUGUUUGUUAAACUCAAUGAUCAAACUUCAGACUCAUGCCUUCCAAAAAGAAAAGAAAACGAAGAAGAAUUGAAAGCACUUCCCAUUCCAAGGAAAGAGCAGCCAUAAUUAGGAUCCAAAACUCAUUCUUUAGUCUCCUCAUCUGAAGCUAUAUAUAAUCAUUGAACAAAAACGUUUAACGUCCAGCAGAAAGCAAACUGCAAUCAAAAUUUCAAAAAAGCAAAAUAAUGCGCAGAUAAUCGACAGCUGCAACAAACAAAAAAUAGAAAAAUCAAAUGCAGAUUGAAGGAAAAAUCGAGACCGCAAUCGAAACUCAUGCUUGUAUGGGUAAUUAAUUGUAGAUACCAAAUCAUCAAAAACCACUUGUCUACACCAAAUUGCAUACAAAAGAUAUUGGGGCAACUCAGAUUGUGCAAUGAAAAACAAAGUCAAACUACGACGUAGAUGUCUAUCGGAAUUUCAUUCAAAGAAUGAUUAAAUAAAGACAAUGGCAUGCCAAAGAUUAAAUACCCUAAGCGACAGUGUCAGCCAUGAGCUUCCCUCUGUGAGAGCACAGGGGUGUAACUGCAAAAGAAAGCCGGAGACUGAGGGCAAACUGUAAUUUCGUCAAAAAGGAGGAAGUGUACAAAAGAGAAGUGACAGCAAUAAGCGUAGACGCCAAGGACAAAGUAAAUAUGUAUUUGUGAAUGGGGUUAAGCUGCUGCUAGCUUUGUAUAGUGUAAUAAUGCAAUUGCAAAUAGACCAAGUUACUGCUACUAAAAGCUUUUGCAAAAUCAUAAAACUCUUAACAGUUUGAACCCUACCGAAAAGUUUAUAUGAGUUAAAGAACAGUCGUACUUAAGUGCAGCAAGAUCAUAAGCUCUUGCAGCUUCUCCUCCAUAUCAGAACCACCUGCAGUCCAAAUUAACCAAGAUUCAAGGCCAAAGCAAGAACAAAUUAGUGAUAAUUUAAACUAAAGUCCCUAAUUAUUGUUGCAGAGAGAAUUCAUAUCAAGAUUAACGACAUUAUUUGAUUCGAAUGGAAUCCAAACGCAGCAUAAACAUGAAAGGUAAAAAAUUAAUACCAAAAGUCACAUUUAAGCAGCAAUUAAUAGCAUAAAUCAGAUUUUAGUGGCAUGGACCAAAAUAAUUCAGUAAAAAAGAAACAAUCCCAAACAAAUAGAAAGAACUGGAGAAACAAUUCGAAACAAAUCUUCGGAAAGCAACCCCAUCCCUCCCUCACCCUCUCUCUCUCCAAUUCCAACUUCUCCCUACAUCUCUCUGUCUAUAAUAGAUGUGCAGUUUUAUUAAUCUUUGUUGCCGAAGCGUGCAAGAUAGUGAAAAGAUUGUUUAUCUAAGAAAAAAAAGGGCACAUUUUAGAUGGAGACAGAUGGCAUUUAACAAAUUCUUCAUUAGUGGAGUAAAUAAUUUGCAACCACCUAUUUCCUGGUAGCAUUAAAAAAAAAAUUCAAUUUUAAAAAAGAAAUGUACUUUUUAGUUCAAUUUCCACAGCCAUAGUAAUUUAUGUGGACUAAAAUUAAGAUUAACUAAUACAUCCAAUCAACUGCAACUAAACAACUUAUAGUAAUUGAAUCUGUGUUUGUGGAUGUGAGAGAGAGAGAGAGAGAGUUAUCUAUUAUAAAGCCAACCUUCUUUGAAUUGGUCCUCUUAUGGCUUAUUACCAAAACUCUCCAUUGCAUUUGCAGUAAUGCCCUCUGCUUCUCCUCCUGCGAAUUAUCAUUCUGUAAGUAAAAGGUACAAAAACAUCAAUUACUUAAUGGUAGAUAUGUACUUUAGACUUUUGAAGAUCCAAUUCAUCCUGCAUCUUCUCACACUCAUCUUCAUGCUGAAGCUGCAAACCUGUCAGCUCAGCUUCAAGUUCGCUCCUCAUUGAAGUUAUUUUCUAUGAAAAUGAUAAACUGGUUUGUAACGUAAGCAUAUAACACUCUAGUUAAAUUAGUAGUUCCAACUUAAUUCAAAGCUAAAAACGACAUUAAUGACCACAAUUUAAGAAUCCAGAAACAGCCCAAACUAACAACACACACAGAGGACAGACACUGAAAGACAUAUUUUUUUAGAGAACCUAACUAAAAAUUAAAAACAAACCAAGUAAAAUUUUCAGAGUUUAAAAACAGGAAACCAUUACAAUCUUUACAGAAACCAACUAAAAUUGGAAUCUGAAAAAAAAUCCGCUCAAUUUUAACAGCCCUGCUGCAUAUAUUGGGUUUUUUUAGGCAUGAGACAACACAAACGAAGAAAACAUAACAUAGUUGUAAACCUUAGGCUCCAAUCAGGUCAAGUGUGAGAUUUCAAACACGGAGAUUUACUCCAUGUUUAAAAACUGCCAAAUACAUUGCCAACUGUUAAGAGUAUGAACUACAAAUCUAUAAAGUAAAAAGACUUGCAGAUAAGUUUAAACAAUCAACAUUCAACUUAUGAUUGUUACUGUUUUUUAGCUGGAUGUUCACAUUCUAAUAAGGUAUUAAAAGAGAUUAUAAGCGUGUGUGCUCUUAAACCACCCAACACCAUGUAUUAAUCAAAUAAUUAACAUCUAAAGAUGGAGACAUGAAACACGAAACCUGCAAUUAGAUCCCAAUCACAAAAUGCCAAAAAAAUCCUAAUCUAACCAUCCCUAUACUAAUAGCCCAUUCGAGCAGCUAUUAGCACCUAACCCGCUACUUUGGCAACCCACCAACCCGCCACACCGUCAUGUCCCAUCCCCUCUCCACCACUCACUAUAUCUCUCACCUUUCUUUCUUGACAUUUCGCUCGGUGCACACAAACACCAAGCCAACCAUUGCCGGCCUUUGUCUAAAAGUGGACAAAAUCCCAUAGGUCCUGGCAGAGGACCUAGCUAAAUCUCUCUCCCACUCAGUCGAAACCCGUAGCUACCAUUUCUCUCCAAUCUGUCAGUCUCUCUGUCCCCCUCUUCUCCUCCCCCCAACAACCCUCUGACCGAUGCAUCACCCACAGCCACACCCACCCGCACCCGAGUCAAAAAUCCCAACGAUCCUCUCCCUCCAACCCGUCAACAAAUUAUGGAUUCCGAGAAUGUAUCUUGAAAACUCAGAUGCACAUGAUUAAAAUUAGUAGAUAUUAAGGACGUGUACUUAACAGAACAACACGAAGAACGAAUGAGUACAUUACAAACUAAAUGACCGUGUCAGCUAGAUACUUCUUAAAGAACACCUCUAAUCUACCAGUAUGAUUACUCAGUUUUUGGUUUUUAAAUUAAUACCCUAAACCUUACAUUCAAACUCAUUUCGAAUGCAAACAAAAGUAAAUGAUAAGUCCCGAGCUUUUCUUUCUAGCCUCAACUCAACUCAAGUUCCCAACCUUCACCUUCCAAUACAAAGAAACUAACGCAUCAAUCUGCAAUUUCGCAAACAUAUAAUUCAACUAACCAAGUUCUGUGUCCACUCAAAUGCACAUAUUUGAGCUCAAUCAAACUUAAAUUUGAAACAAAUAGUGAUGAAAGAUCAAACAUUUAUACCUAGCUUAGGAUCCGAACCAAUCUCCUCUUUCGCCUCCCUCGUCGCCGUGUCCCCAUCGUCCUUGUCCCCCUCCUCUGUUUUCCCACCCGGCAAAGAAACUUCACCUGCAGAAACACAAAACCAAAAAUUAAAAAACCAAUCUUUCCCAUUUCCAUUUUUAUCAAUUUCCUCAAUUUUUCCCAUUUCCAGAAAAAUGAGCAAGAAGCUUAAGCAGGAAAAAAAUCAUAAUUUCAACAACCAAAACCCAAUACCCGUUUAAUCAUACACGAACGAAAAAUCUAAACACAGAGUCACAGAUUAACGAACUGAAAACCCAAAAAAAAUAAAGGAAACUGACCUUACUUAAGAACAAUACAUAGAACACAGAGAAACGAAACAAAUAAAGGAACCCCCAAAACCAAAUAAAGGAACCCUCAAAACCUGACCUAACAGUGCAACAAAAUCUGGAAAUAAUUCACAGCAAAAAGGCAGAAAUGAUGACAAUCUAUGCUAACAGUAAAGAAUCGAAUUAAAAAUUGAACUUAGCUUUUGAAAUCCAGCCACUCAUCCGACAUGCAAAAGGGAACGGAUGAUCGAGAGUGAAUCAUGGACUGAGGGACCUUACUCGACCCAUCAUUGGAGCUACGUUUGUAGCUUUUGGGGAGAAAAAAAUUGAAUGUGAAAGCUGCUUUUGAUGUGGCCAUUAAGGUGGUGCUUCAGCAACCGAAGCAAAAGAAGAAGAGGCAGAAAAAUGUGAGUAUUCCAUGAAGAAAAAAAAAAGGUUAAAAAAUCACUAAAAAGAAAAGGCAGAAAAAUGCAGGGUAUUCCAUGAAGAAAAAUUCAACAAUUAAAUAAUAUAGCUGUAAACCUUAGACUCCAAUCAGGUCAAGUGUGAGAUUUCAAACACAGAGAUUUACUUCAUGUUAAAAAACUGCUAAAUACAUUGCUAACUGUUAAGAGCAUGAACUAUCUGUAAAGUAAAAAGCCUUGCAGAUAAGUUUAAACGAUCAACUGUCAACUUAUUAUUGUUGCUGGUUUUGAGGUGGACGUUCGUAUUCUAACAUGGUAUUAAAAGAGAUUAUAAGUGUGUGCGCUCUUAAAUCAGCCAACACCAUGUAUUAAUCAAAUAAUUUAUAUCUAAAGAUUGAGACAUACAACAUGAAACCUGCAAUUAGAUCCCAAUCACAAAAUGCAAUAAAAAAAUUCCUAAUCUAACCAUCCAUAUACUAACAACCUAUUCGAGCAGCUAUUAGCACAAUUUACCUCCCUCUCUAUUCUUCCCCACCCCCUCUUUAACCAAAUAAAAACUCAUUUGUCUCACUAAAUAAAAACCUCAAAUUUGUUUUUUCAAAGCUGCAACAACAUCACUAAAAACACCAUGUAAUAAAAAUUUAAAAAAACCAAUCCAAUUUAAGUCGAGAAGCAAAUGACCAAACCUCCUAUUUUGAGGAAACAUUUUGCAUUCAAACCUAAAAUGCUUGCCUGCAAAGAAGGAUUAAAUAGCAAAGCAGACUUUCGGGGGAAAUAAAAAAAACAGACUAUUUAUAAUACAAUAAAAAUAAAGUAAUUCAUCAUCCCCACCAUCUCUGUGAGCUUUAACAGAACAGAGGAAUCAAAUUAAGCAAUAUAUAAAUUUAAGUUGACAUUCCAGUGUUCUACCUCUAACCUUGGUAGCAUGCAUGCACUGUAAGUUAUAAAGUGAAUUAAGCCAAGAUCUUCUAACUUCAUGAUUUUCACAUAUGCAUUAGAUGGAGAAAUACAAUAAAUAAUCAAAUAUGUAAGACUCUGAUAUUCAAAACCAAACAAACCCAAUUACACUUUUAGUUCACUAACCCCAUUGAAUAAAAUCCAAUUCAAUAAAAUAACAGAAAAUUAAACAACCCAAAAAUCAAAACAACCCCACUUGUAGUUUUAGCUCACUAAUCCGUUGGAUAAAUAGAUGCCAAAUUCAAUCAGAAAACAUACAAUUAACAACAACCCAGAAGAGCCAUCCGAAAACCCAACCAAUUAACCAAAAAAUACCACUUGUUCUUUUAGCUUAGUAACCAACCUCUACUUGUUUUCUGGCAAAUUUGGGGUCCUUUGAUUUCUAGACUUUCAGUAGAAACUGAUUAUACCAUGGGCUAAUAUUCAAGUACCACAAAAUAUAAUUUUACCGUAGUAAGCUUUUUGAUUCACUCCAAACGAAGAUAUUAUAUGUUCACAUAUAUAUAUUCACAACCAUAAAAAGAAGAACUUAUCUCUGGCAUUUUAAUAAAAAUAAAAAUAAAUUAUUCACCCACAGUAAAAACCGAAACAGCUAAAUUAAACCCAAAAAUUAAUCAUGAUCAUACAUAUGUAUUCCUGACAAAUGUUUAGCCCUUUAAUUAAAACACUAAAAUAAAAAAUUGCUCACCCACAGUAAAAAACCGAAACAUGCAAACCAAAGCCCAAAAUUUAAUCAUCACUAUUACUUUUUUUUUUUUUGGUGUUUUUAAGUUUCAGGGAAAAAUGGAAGCACAAACAAUCAAAAAACCCAAACAAAAAGAAAUUAACACCAAAGAGAUAAAUUAUAUACCUGACCCAGAAAAAGCUUGGAAGCUCACAUAAUGAAACCCUAAAACUCGAAGAAGGAUGCUUCCUGCAAACCAAAUACAAAAUCAGACUCUCUCUCUUAGAAAGAGAGAAGUUAUCAAGUCCUGUACUUGGUUAUAUUUGUUCAAGUUAGGAAAAAUCGAGUACAGGGUUGGUACCUGGAGCUUGAGAAAUCAGAGAGCUUGCCUGUUUGAGAAAAGAUGAUAACAACAGCUUCAGAUUCACACAGAAAACGUACAAAAAACGCACAACAUGCUCUCUGCCCUCUCUCUCUCUCCCUCCCUGUCCAUCCGUCCCUCAAAAAGUGGGAAAAAAAAUCUCCAAACGUCUCUCCCACUCAUGAAAUCGAGGAUCUGCAGCAAUGGCGCUGAGGUCGCCACUCCUCCCUCUCCCUUUCUCUGUCGCUCUGUCUCUGUCUCUGUCUCUGUCUCUGUCUCUCUCUAUCGAAGGCAUGGCCUUUCAUCCCCGAAACCCUCACUGAAUGACAGCAAACCCAAACCCACCCCAAUCCGUCUCAAACACACAGGACAAAAUUGCCCUUCCAACCCAGCCCCAAUACCAGCCCAAACCUUACGGUUUUGUUGUAAAUAGCGUGAAAUCGAGUGGCUCCCUGAUAAGCCAUAUGGACAAAAUUACCCUCUGAAAUUUUGAGAAUCACCCUCCCAACCCACUCCCAUUCGGCUGGUACUGUUGUAAAUAAAGCAAAAUAAAAACAAACGUGAAUAGUGCCUGCCCUCCCCCUACUUUAGUAUAGAUAAUUUUGCACAUUGCAUAUAUGUAGAUUAAGGACGGUGGUAACAUACCUUGUAAUUUGUACAAAUUAGGAUUUUCAUUCAAAGAACUAUAAUAUACACAAUUACAAAAAAAGUGAUUCAAACUUGUUCUUCUCUUAAGGAAAUUACUCACAGUUGAAAUUCUGAAUGGAUGAAGUUUUGGCUUCCCUUUCCGACUAUAUUUGAUUAACCUUUUUUUAAUCCAAUGAGUGCCUUCAUGAGAGAGAGAGAGAGAGGAAUAUUAGGUGAAAAGUAUUGCCAAAUCACACAGAGAUCAAAAUCUUGAAUAUAUAUGUUUAACCAUGUCAAAGUGAGUGUGUAAAGGGUGUAGUCUGCAGAAAGGGCAACAUUUUCACUGCUAGAAAGUUGGAAACUAAACUUUUACACAGAUAUUGGAUUUUAUUAAUUCCCUUCGCGAAUUGAAAAGCAAAUUGUUCGAGUAAUGCAGGUAAAUUCGAUAUACAUAUGCGUUGAUCUAUGUGACGGUUAUAAGUUAUAACUGUAUUGUCUUAACGCAAAAAUGAUCAUAAAUGUAAGUGUCUGUAUUAUGGAAGUAAGGGACUUACAGCAAUUGCUAUGAGCUUUAACAGCAGUCACUCCAAGUACCUUAUUACGGAAGUAAGGGACUUACAUCAAUUGCUAUGAGCUCUACCAGCAGUCUCUCAAAGUGGUGCAAGGGCUAAAAUUAUAAAUAAAAAGUAAUUUAAACAAUUUAACUUAAUAAAAUAUUGUAAUUUAAACAAUGCCUAUAUAUUCAAACAUCCCAAAACAGGAAUGAACUUCUAGAAAACAUGCGCAUGAAAAUAAACGGCAUUACUCACCCAUUGAGUUGGACCAUCAAACUGGAGCGUAAGAAGGAUCAUCAUGUACCUAUGAAACCCAAAGGAAAAUUUUAGCAACCCCAAAGCUUGUAUGCAAGCGUGAAUAAGUAUGCGUGUAUGAAUCUAUUCAUAGUGAAGAAGGCUACCUUAAGAAAUAUUUGCAUCUGCAGCUUCAUAUGGCCAUACAACAAAAAGCAUCGCAUAUGAUAACAAACCCCAGCUGCACCACAAAAGGAAUAUGAUCUUCCUCUCGACUUGUAUUUGCAGUUGUUACUGUAACAUCUGCAGACAGCAUACAUAAGCACUGAUUCGAUAAUUCUAAAGGAAAAAAAGUUCUUAUUCGAUAAUGCACCAAAUCCUAUCCAAAAACCAAGGGGGUGCCAUAUCCCUAGAUUAACAGAGCAUCUUUCUUUGUUCCAAAACAAAUUGCAAUUGGCUUUGGUAAAGUAGAAAGAUUACCAGAUACCGACUCUGUUCCAUUAUUCGACUGUCCUUUUAGUUCUAUCUCUCAACAUGGGAAAUACAAUAAGACAGUAAAGACAAAAGUUAGUGAUGCUAUUACAUAGUGAAAGAAAAUAAGACAUUCACAUAUUGAUAGCUAUUUACUGUCCUUUCUCAUCAUAAUCUUGGCCCCAAUAUAUAUACUGAAUUUUGAAUGCAAUGAGAGAAAUAUACCUUUGGGGCGUCAAUGCCAGAAGAGUGAGUGAGGGAUCUAAGAUGUUUGAGAGCAGGAAUUUUUAAGUAAUUUGUGUGAAAAAGUUGAAGAGCUUCGAACAGAGUGGAGUGGGUUGGCCUGGGCUAAAAUAAAGAGGAUGAACUCUAGAAAGUAGAAAAUGUUGUUAUUCAACCAAACUCAAAAGUAAAGAAACCAUACAAUUAACAUAUAAAUAAGUUUUAUAUACCAAUGUUUACAUGUACGUUGUUUGAGAAGGUAAAUUAGCAACAUAUACAGUGAUCAAAAGAUUAACAGCAAUAAACUGCUCAUUAUUCGAAAUAUACAUGAAAGUUGUCAUUCACAUGAUCCAAAUGGUAGAGGACAAAACAGAAGGAAGCAAAUAUUAUAGCAGCAUAAGUUGAAUAAUUGCAGCAAGUAAACAAAUAGAAAGGCUAGCUAGAUUACACAAUCCAGUUCUAGGUCGGACUAACCAUGUUAGCCAUCCGCCCACCACCAGCACCGUCGGCUUCUUAUUAAAAAUGUAGAAUAGAAGACUCAAAAACUGGAAAUGAAAGCAGGUAACAUUGAGUUUUAAUAACCAAAAAGGGACAUUGUUUAAGCAGCUCCAUAGCAGCAAUUAUACUUGGACGAUGAGCUGCAAAAACAGAAAAGAAAACACAAAUUAAACUAAAAAAAAUAUAAAAUUUAGCACUAAUCCAGGAUUAAAUAUAAAAUAUAAAGUCAUUAGGAUUGGGACCUUUGCAUUGAGGAAUAUCUACUACAUUAUGAGUUCCCUCCUGACAGUGGCGGAUCCAGGAUUUUAAACUCGGGGGGUCUCAAUAAUAAAGGUCAAAAAAUUUAUACACAAAAACAACAUUGAAAAUUUAAAUAUAAUACAUUUCAUUCAAAAAUCAUAUGCAAAACAAUAUUACAAAUUAUAAAAUCAUAAUUCAAGCGUCCAUUACAAGGUUUCAUAAGUUACUACCUAAGUUAUUGAUUAUCUAAUAUGGACCACUAAAUUUAAAACACCAGUCAAAUAAAACUCUUCCCAAACUCCCACUAUCUUUCUAACCAAACACACCAUUUUUCUCUUUUACUAGUUUCCAAACAUCCACUUUCUCUCUCACUAAGAACACAGCUGCCAUACCUCCACCAACCACCUCCCUCCCCAUUCUCCCGAAGCCAUGGCAGCUCCACCCCCAAAUUUCACCAACCCAUGACAGAUCAUAUCCAUCUUACUAACCUUAUGCAGGAAAUUUCACCCAUAACAAAAAUUACUAAGGUGGUUGAAAUAAUUUGGGGAAAUUUGGGCUUAUGUACUGCCCCGCCAGACGACAGAUGGAGGAGAAGUGGGUGGCACCGAUGGAUGAGACCAUGGCAGAAGCAAGGAGAGAGGCUGGAAGGGUCCCUAUUUUCUUUCUUCUCCGUGCGCGGUCAUCUUCUCCGAGAAGAAGACAGCCACUGCAACCUACAACCUGCACAGACCUCAUGCUCGAGUACGAGGGGUCCCCGGAAAAUUUCUAGCAGCGAUUUAGGAUCGCCGACGGGUCCUGGGACCUCCCAGGUCCCUAUGUAUGCAGGAAAACCUAAGGUUCCUCCUUAGGUUUUUCGAUGUACCAAACCCGAAUCCGCCGUCCUUUUUCCAAAAUUCUAACGUUUUCAUAGAGUUUUAUUAAACGACCUUUAAUUGUGUUUAGGUGCAUCGGUGGAAGUGACCUCAUUCUUGAUGGUUCGAGCGGCUUUCGGGCAAUGGAAAACUUGUGAGUGGACCCCUUCUAAACUUAUAUAUUGUUAUAAAAUAUUAGCCUAGCAUGCAUUCCAUAUUUCAUGAUUUGAAUAUGAUUUAUAAUAUGCUUUAUGGACUUUUAUAAUUAUGGUUUACGAAAUAGUUUGAUUUAUCGAAAUUACGUUUUAUUAGGUAUUGAAUUAUUGGAUUUACAUAUAUGGAUUUCUAUGGUUUUCAAAUACGAUUUAUAUUACGGUUUUACGAACAUGAAUUGUUUUAUGGAUUUCAUGAAUACAAUUUAUCUUGGAUUUAUGAGAUGAGACUUUGAGCUAGUGAGCUCCGGGUUUGAUAUGAGUUUUGAGAUAUGUUUUUGGUACUUAAUCUAGUGGGUUAUCAUACGGCACAUCCGCACACCACGGGUAUAGAUGUGUAUGGCCAUAGGACACAGAUGAUGAGGAGGAGUAAGAUAUGAUAUAUUGUAUACCCCCAGUUCACUGUCGAAAGCAGUGUCAGAUAACUUCACUAGCCAUGGCUAGUGUCGGUAUGGAUGUUAUGCUAUUUCAUACAGCUUCACCUUCGGGUGAUAGACAGUUAUUUAGCUUCACCUUCGGGGUGAUGGACAUGUACUACCUUCGGCCAACUAUAAUAGCCUUAGUUGAGUACUUCACUGACAAGAUUUACAAAUUUGCCUUUGGGCGACGACAUUUUCAUUAUCAAGCACUGGAUUUUACAUAUCUACCUUCUAAAUGGAUUUUCAUGGCAUGCUAGGGUUUUUCAUAAAGCCUAUAUGUAGUAUUAUAUAUGUUUUCAAAAUAAGGGGUUAUUAUGUUCAUAAAUAAAAUGUUUUCCUAUUAUUAGUAUUAUUAAUAUAAACUUUGGUCCACUCACCUUUUCAGUUUUUGCGCCUCCUCAGGAGUUAGGAUCGAGGCACAUGAUCCCGGCAUCAUGGCAUGUUGAUAUAGGUAUCCUUGAAUCUUCUUAGUGUAGGUAUCAUUCCCUUAUUCAUAUCUUUUUAUAGUGAUUCUUUCCUAUUAUUUCUAAUUAGUUGUAUGCUCUGAACAAAUUCCUGCUUUGGUAUAAUCGUUAUAACUACUUAUCUUGUAAUUGUUUGCAUGUUUAAAAUGGUUUCGUCACCUUUGGGCGUGGGCUAGCACGUGCCUACCCUGGUAUGUUGGGGUAUCGGGGUUGGGGCGUGUCAAAGAUAGAGAGUGAAUUUCUAGCAGAUUCAAUGGUUGUCUACAUUUUAAAAAGAGCUUGCCGAAAAGAUUGAUUCAGAUGAAAUAACAAAGGAUUUCAAUUCCAUUAAGGAUUGAAGGGCACAACUUGAAUAGGUAUUUUUCUUUUUAUUUGUUAGGUUGUUAUGACAAGAUUGACGAUGUAUGUUUCUUUAUAUUGUAAGUUGCAACUUUAAAGGUUUUCUUCGUUAAAUCUAGUUGAAACUUGAUUCAUUUAGAGUUAAAUUUCUUACUUCAAAUUGUUGCUUUUAGGCUUAUUAUUGUGUAACUUUAUGCAAGCAACAAAAAAUUUUAACCAUUUGAUUUUGUACUAAUAAUUUUAGCUUAGCAUGCCACCAAAUAAUUCAUGUCUCCGCUAUUGAAAUCUUAGCAUGUGCAAUUUCAAAGUCUCGGUUGCCAAGUCUCCCCAGGCUGUUCAGCACCCAUUCUGAAUCUUGAUCGAGAUCUAGAGCAGUGCAAGUCAAGGAGUCUUCAUUCUCAUUUGAAACAAUGCUAAAAUUAUACCUCAGCUUGGACUCCUUGGGCAAAAUAUACCCAAAUGUAUUAAUAAUUUAAUACUACUUGUGGAUGCACCACUAGUCCAAAAAAAUCACCUCUCCUUUCUUAAUCUUCAAUUGGUGAGGGUCCCAAUCAAGCGUGAAAGGCCCCGGCGCACGGUUGGCUUUAGUUUCCCAUGAUGAAAUCGACGAAACGUGGCCAUUUGUACGGUUGACACCCAAUUUCAUGCCCGGCAAAAAGGUGUCAACUGGUAAUCAAAGCUUUACGUUCACUUCUUCUUGUACAAAAUUUCCCGAAUCCAAAAGGAUAGCCACAACAGUAGCAAUACUGUUACUUAUGUUGGUAGACCUAGUAGUUUGUGGAGCUGAGAAAAACACAAUUGGAUUAGGAUCCCUCCCGCAUAAUUUUCAAGGUUUUAUUCCUGUCCAAGGCAAGAGUGCGUACAAAAUAGGGGCUUUACGGUUGCAAAUCCAAGCAAUGUUGCCAUCGGCCUUGUUGCUCUGGAUAGAUACGUAGCUGGUGCUUUUGGAACUGUCGUCGUGUACACAGGAACUGAAACUGAACUUCUCCGAUGCAGAGACCAAAGAACUUGAGGAGUUGAGAGUGUCUCCUGCUGGUUUCAGUGUGUCCUUGCACUUGCAGCAUUGUGACAGGUCCACAGUCAGCAUGCAAAAAUGAUUAAGUUGAUUAUUGCCAUGAUUAAUUAAUGACCAUAACAUGAAGUUUAAUUUCUCCAUAUGAUGAGGAAGAAAGACAUGAAAUCCAUCACCAGAACAUGAUUAAGAAUUUAAUCAAGCAACGCGUCUUAGUUAAACCAUUACAAUCAUUGUACAAGGCAUUUAUAAAUUAAAAAAAAGGGAAUAAAGUAAUAAUUGUUAGAAUAAGAAGAAAAUGUAGUACAACAAUGGAGGAUAUGCUGCAAUGACUAGAGUGAGAGAGAGAGAAAGAAGAGAGCAGAGAAUAUGACACUGCAAUUCUUUUCACACGCAUUGUUUGAUUGCUCACUUAGUGAGAGAGGAACAUCUCUCUACACUUAACAGUUACACUUCCAAACUUUUGGCAGUAUUCAAAAUUACAUCCAAGUAAUCCUAGCCAUCCAUCUUACACCCUAUGAGAUGAAGACACAUGUACACUCACUUACUUAAGAACUAUGAGACUUAGAUAAGAAAGCAUACAACCAAUUUAGCUAAUCAUCCUAGCAAUAUAAGCUAGAAAUACAACUACCACAUCAGAUCACAAUUUACACACUAACAGCCCCCUUUAAAUUGUGAACUGAUUUAACUCCAAGAAGUUCCCUCAGAUAACUGAAUUGUUCUCUUGCCAAUGCCUUUGUAAAGAUAUCAGCAAUUUGGUCUUUCGUAGGACAAUGCAACAGCUCAAUUACUCCUUGCUGCAAUGCUUCCUUUAUGAAAUGGUAUCUCCUGUUGAUGUGCUUGGUCUUCUGAUGAAAAAUAGGAUUUUUAAUGAUAGCUAUGGCUGAAGUAUUAUCACAAUUCAUUGGUGUUGCAACUAUUUGCAUUUCACCAAAGUCCUCCAAAACAAAUCUCAGCCAUGUAGCCUGUGCAGUUGCUUCAGAUGCACUAAUGUACUCUACUUCAGCUGUUGAUAAUGCAACACAUUGUUGCUUGACUGAAGACCAAGAGAAAACUCCACUGCCAAAGGUAAAUGCAUACCCCGAUGUACUUUUCAUAUCAUCUUCUGAACCGCUCCAGUCACUGUCACAAAAUCCCAUUAAGAUUGCUCCUUUGCCUUUCUUGUAUUCCAAGCCAAAAUCAAGAGUCCCUUGAACAUAUCUUAGUACUCUCUUUGCUGUCCCAAGGUGCUUGUUGGUUGGACAGUGCAUAAACCGUGAUAGCAGACAUGCAACAUACAUUAUAUCAGGUCUAGUUGCUGUGAGAUACAGCAAACUGCCUACAAUUUGUCUAUAUUGAGCUUCAUCCGUAGUCCCACUUCCAUCCUCUUUUCUCAAUUUAUCACUUGGAACCAAUGGAGUACUCACUGACUUACAGUCUUGAAGUCCAAAUUUCUUCAGUAGAGAAGAAGCAUAUUUUCUCUGAUGAAUGAAAAUAUACUCCUCAGUUUGCAUUACUCCCAUACCAAGAAAGUGAUGUAAGAGUCCAAGAUCAGUCAUUUCAUAUUUGAGCAUCAUAUUAGAUUUAAAGUCAUCCAUCAAUUCCUGACAACUUCCAGUGUAUAUUAUGUCAUCAACAUAGAUAGACACUAUAAUCAUUUCUGAACUUUUCCUCCACUUGGUAUACAGAGUUGCUUCGCUAGUGCUUUUCUUAAACCCACAGAGUGUAAGAUAUGAGUCUAUUUCACCAUACCAGGCCCUUGGUGCCUGCUUCAGACCAUACAGUGCUUUAUGUAACCUGUAGACCUUAUCUUCUUCCCCUUGUACAAUAAAUCCAUCCGGCUGAUCAACAUACACUUCUUCUUCUAGUACACCAUUCAAGAAUGCCGAUUUUACAUCCAAUUGAAACAACUUCCAUUUGUUCUUUGCUGCCAGGGCAAUUAAUGUUCUGAUUGUAUCCAACCUUGCCACAGGUGCAAAGGUUUCAUUAUAAUCAAUUCCGGGCUUUUGUGCAUAGCCUUUUGCAACAAGCCUAGCCUUGUUCUUUUGAACUGAUCCAUCCAAAUUCAAUUUAGUUUUGUACACCCAUUUCACACCAAUCACAGGUUUAUCAGAUGGUCUUUUCACUAAUUCCCAAGUCUUAUUUUUCUCAAUCAUGCUGAUUUCAUCUUUCAUAGCUUUCUUCCAUGCUUUAUCCUGUGCAGCUUCAUAAUAGGAUUCUGGUUCAACAAUACACAUGACAUCUUUCAUAGAUUUCACUCAAACUUCUAUAUCUCAAAGGAGUAUGAUCAAUCUGAGAUGCAAAAAUUGAGUCACUAGCACUUCCAGAUUCAAUGAGUGGAGAAUCUGUAAGUUGAGUCUGAGAACCUUCAGCAACAGCUUGUUCCAUGGAAUCCGAAUCCUCAUCAGCUUCUUUCAUCUCUGAAGAUUCACUUGCAGCAAUUGGAAUGUACACUUCUUUGAUCUUCUAUCUAUCCCAAUCCUAUGUACCAUUCUCAUAAAAAAUAACAUCUCUUGAAAUGAUUACUUUCUGAUUUUCAGGAUUAAGCAAUCUGUACCCCUUUUCACAAGUGCCAUAUCCAAUAAAAAUACCAAUGACACUUGUUUCAUCCAGCUUCUGUCUCAGGUUUCCAGGAAUAAGGGAAUAACCUAAUGAGCCAAACACUCUCAAGUGUUGAAUUCCAGGUUUUCUUCCACUGAAUUUCUCAAAAGGUGUCACAUUUUCCAAUACUUUUGUAGGACAUCUAUUUAGCAAGUAGACAGAUGUAACUACAGCUUCACCCCAAAGACUAUAAGGAAGACCUUUCUCAUGAAGCAUACACUUUGCCAUCUCCACUAUAGUUCUAUUUUUUCUCUCUGCAACUCCAUUCUGUUGUGGAGAGUAUGCAACAGUAAGCUGCCACUCCAAACCCAAAGCUUCACAAAACUGUUCAAAUUCAUUUGAGGUAAAUUCUUCUCCUCUAUCUGUUCUCAAUUUCUUCACUGAAAAACCACUUUGAAGUUCCACCAUAGCUUUGAAUUUCUUGAAUACAUGAAAGACAUCUGACUUGUGUCUCAAGAGAUAUAUCCAGCACAUCCUCGAAUAGUCAUCAAUGAAUGUAACAAAGUAUCGAUUUCCACUUAUGGUUGGUGUUUGCAUAGGGCCACACACAUCUGAGUGUAUAAGUUCCAAUGGCAUUCUUGCUCUCCAGAUUGACUCCCUUGGAAAGGACACUCUAUGAUUCUUACCAAAUGCACAUCCCUGACAUACACCUUCACUGUCAUGCAUUUCAGGUAACCCAAGAACCAUAUCAUGCUCCUGCAAUUGUUGCAAACUUCUAAAAUUCAGGUGGCCAAACCGUUUAUGCCACAUUGUACUAUUCUGAUGCACAUUGGUUUUCAGUACCAAAUGAUCGUUUGACUUGAACACAAGUGGAAAGCAUCUGUUCCCCUUUUGUUUCACACUAACCACUAAAUUUGUCAGAGUUCUAUCAUAAAAAAUAUCCACCUUAUAAUCACCAAAUAACAGAAAAUACCCAUGUUCAGUCAUCUGCCCAACACUGAGAAGGUUUUCUGCAAUUCCAGGUACUAACAUAACUUCUCUUAUGUACCUUUUUCCUUUAUCCGUGUCAAUGACCAAGGUUCCUUUGCCUUUCACAUCAACAAGAACCCCUGUGCCAACUUGCACUUUUGCUUUAAUACUUCUAUCAAUUUCCACAAGUAACUCCUCUCUGGAAGUCAUGUGAUUACUGCACGCACUGUCAAUAUACCAGGCAUCACUCACAGCUUUCACUUCAGUUGAUUGCUUGACCAUGAAGAGAUUUCCAGGUUCCAGGUUCUCCCACCUUGUUUCUAAAAUUUCUUUGCUCUCCCACUUUGUCUGCAAAAUUCCCUUGCUGAGCAUUUUUGUUUUGAUUGCAGAUCCUAGCAAUAUGACCAGGUUUUCCACACUUGUGACAUUUAAUCUUCCCUUUUAGCCAACAUUCACCAUAGUGAAGUUUAUCACAGUAUUUGCAUGCCCCUCCAGUGUUGUUAGCUUCAUUUCUUACACUUGGAGUAAACCUGUUAGUCCACUGCUUCCCUUUGAACUUGAAGUUCUUCUGAUAUUUUGAUCCACCAGUAUUGGUAUGUUGAUUACCAAAUUUACUAUUCUUAGAUGAGAUAUAUAUCUAAGCUAGCAAAUGCACGUUCUGUGCUACUCUCUUCAUGUCUGAUUAAUCUUAGUUCAAACCCUUUCAAUAUGGCAACCACAUCUUGUGCAUCAAUUACAUCAAUAUCUUUAGUAUUUUCUAUAACAGAAGCAAUGCUAUCAUAUGUUUUGGGUAAACUGAUCAAUAACUUUUGCACAAUUCUCUGAUUACUAAGAUCUUCUCCAUAGCUUCGCAUCUGAUUUAUCAGAUCAAACAACCUAGCUAAAUAUGCAGCUAGAGAUUCACUUUCACUCAUACGGGUAUAUUCAAAAUCACGACGCAGACCUUGUAAUUUCACAGAUCGUACCUGUUUGUCCCUACACAUACUCUUGCUUCAGAAUAUCCCAAGCUUCUUUUGCAGUUUCCAAGGUUGCAAUGCGUGGAAAAAUUUGAUCCGAUACGGCUCCCUGAAUGAUUCCAAGAGCCCUUGCAUCCUUGACCAGAUUUUCACUCCGCAACUUCGUUUCCACCUCAGUGAGUUCUCCUUCCCCUUUCGCUGAAGUGGUAAAACCUUUUUCAACAAUAUUCCAUAACUCGUGAGAUCGGAAGAUUGUUUUCAUUCGAAUCUACCAGAAAUCGAAAUUUUCUCCGUUGAACACCGGAGCUCGAAGCUCCCCUCCACCAGAUCCAGCCAUGUUAGACUUAGAUCACACCUCUCUCUACUAUUUUCUUUGCAACGAUGUGUUGCAAACACUUGCUCACUAUCUCUCACAGAAUCGACGCCCAGAGAUUCAGACCCAACAAGGCUCUGAGGCCAUGUUAGAAUAAGAAGAAAAUGUAGUACAACAAUGGAGGAUAUGCUGCAAUGACUAGAGUGAGAGAGAGAGAAAGAAGAGAGCAGAGAAUAUGACACUGCAAUUCUUUUCACACGCACUGUUUGAUUGCUCACUUAGUGAAAGAGGAACAUCUCUCUACACUUAACAGUUACACUUCCAAACUUUUGGCAGUAUUCAAAAUUACAUCCAAGUAAUCCUAGCCAUCCAUCUUACACCCUAUGAGAUGAAGACACAUGUACACUCACUUACUUAAGAACUAAGAGACUUAGAUAAGAAAGCAUACAACCAAUUUAGCUAAUCAUCCUAGCAAUAUAAGCUAGAAAUACAACUACCACAUCAGAUCACAAUUUACACACUAACAAUAAUUACAAGUUUUACACAAGUGACCAUUUAUUACAAUGGUGGAAAGGUGUUAAAAGCUUUUGCAUGACGGUGUGAGUUCGAACCUCGUCGGUUGUUAAUCUACAAACCCCGUCGGUAGUUAAUCUAACUUCUAAUCUAAUAAAAUCUAUUUUUUGACCAAAAAAAAAUAAUUACAAGUUUUACUAAAAAUUUAGGGGUGUGAUAUCUACACACCCCUUUUUACUUCUCUCACAUCUUUUUGAUUUUCGACCGUCGGAUCGGAUGAAUUGAAGAAGAUCAACGGACAGAAAUUAAUAAGGAUGUGUGAGAAGUAAAAAAAGGUGUGUAGAUAGCACACCUCAAAAUUUACCGGAAGACUUGAUCACCCAUUUGUAUGCUGACAACGGUGACUAGAUUCACAACCUCUUUCCCACGUAAAUCACAUCAUCCAAUUUUAUUUUUCUUACAACAUAUCACGUAUCUGUCAUAUGUAAGACUUUUUUGGAAUAUGGAGCGUGAAAUUGCAGCGGAAGCAUCCUAGAUUUUUGAUCGAAUAUUGAGUUUGGUUUCAUGACAGACUUCCUGGAUCAAACACACCCUAAAAAAAUAUAUAAAAAACCAAUAAGGUCAUGGUGAUACGACAUCAUUUUAAGAGGAAAGGUAAAAACAAUCUAGUUUCUAUACUAGGAAGAUUCACUCGAACAAAUUCUUGGAAACUAUGACUCAAACAAAAUUCUAGGAAUUCAGUAUUUUUAACAAAUGAUAAACGUUUAAGAUAUAUUCUUUAUAAUAUUAGAGAAAUCGAACGGUUGAUCUAUAACUCGCAAAGUGGUUGUAGCUCAAGUAAUUUUACUCCCCAAUUUUACAUAAAACAUAAAAUAAAAACAAAUCCUAAUUUACAUGGUAAUUUUUUUUCAUAGCUAGGGACAACUUCGACUAUGGUAAUGCAAUUAAUAUACACUAGUUUUGGAUGGAGAAGUUUCAAGAUUGAGCAUGGGAUGGGGAGGGGCGAGAGACUUGGAUGGAGAGUGAGGUUUUAUGAGUUAAACAGUGAUGCAAGGAUGUAUUACUUAAAACUUUAGAGACCGUAUGUUGGGCUAUAUAUAAUUGUUUAACUCAUAAACGUUUUGAGUGUUUCUAACAUAUGCUUAUCAAAAGCCUUCUCGUUCUAUCAAACAAUACGAAAAUUUUCAAUUGAAUGCAAGACAUACUAUUUUAUAUAUCACAGUACUUCAUGGAUCAUCAUCAUCACAUAUCCUUAAUUCAAAGGUAAUAAAUGAGCAUCUAGUUUUAUUUUUAUUUUAUUUUAUAUAGGGACUACAGAAGCAAGCACCCUUUGUAAAUUAAACUCUAAAACUUCUCAAGUAUCUUGAAAGGUGCCAAAAGCCAUCAGCCAACUCCAGUUGAUGCAUAACCUCCUACAUUUACAAAAACAGCGUCGCCGUUAAUUUAUUGACUUCUUCCCAGGACACAUACCAAUUUGCGAAAGUGGUUUGACUGAUGCUAAUUAGUCGAGUAAAGUACAGUCUUUUCAAUUAAGCAGAUGCAAAACACUUAGUUGAGGCACUACAAAUAUGAUUUUUACCUUUAAUUAACGCGCUUCAAAAUCUGAACUGGACAUGUAGUUUGCUGAAGCAACAGUUUCAAGUUGCUGAUUCCCACUUAUACCAGCCUCCACCGUCCUCCUUCCAACAAAAAAUGCUGGCUUUGUUGGUGAUGCUAAUCGAAAGCUUUCAUUUGUCAACAUAGAUAUGACAUCUGACAUGGUAGGGCGAUCUGCUGCAUUUUCUUCUACGCAAAGCAGACCGACAUGGAUGCAUCUUAACAGUUGCUCUUUAAUAAACGAAUUUCCUAAUGUUGGAUCCGUUAAUUCUAGCCCUGCACCUUUUUUCCAUAACUCCCAUGCCUGAAGAACAAGGAUUGCAUUUCAUUCUAAAGAAGAAAAAAUAUGAUUAUAAAUUUUAAGAGAGAGAUUUGUUUGUCAUACAUAUCCUACUAAAUUGAGUGCGCGAUCGUCAUUGUAAAAGCUGUUGUUUUUCCUUCCACUUAUGAUUUCAAGCAUCAAUACCCCGAAACUGUAGACAUCAGACUUUACAGAAAUAAUUCCCCCCACGGACUCUGGAGGCAUGUAACCACUGCACGAAAUGAAAAAGAAAAUUAGUCAGUAUACUUAUCUGGAAAAAUGCGUGUUUAGCAGUCAAAAGGGGAGGACCACGUCAAUGUGAUGCAGAAAUACUUACAGUGUCCCCACAACCUUUCUAGUGUUUGCUUCCAAUUCAUUUUGGGUGAAAAUCCUUGCCAUACCAAAAUCUGAAAUUUUUGGGUUCAUGUUUUCAUCAAGUAGUAUGUUACUAGCUUUUACAUCUCUAUGAAUUACUUUCUUUCUUGAGUAUUUGUGCAGAUAAAGCAACCCUUGAGCAAUUCCUUCGAGAAUGCUAAAACGCUUCUUCCAAUCUAGUAGUAGACCUCUGAUUGGAUCUGUCCAAUAUGUAGAGUUAAGUAGGACUAAUAUUAAUUAAUAGUAGUACUCUAUGAACUUUGACAGUAAAAUAAAAAUCAGAUAGUAAAUUUAACAAAUGAAAUCAAGUAUCUUGGUUCCUCACCAAAUAAAAAGUGGUCCAAACUUUUGUUCUGCAGAUACUCAUAUAUCAACAUCAUUUCUUCACCAUGAAUGCAAAAUCCGAAAAGGUGAACCAGGUUUGUAUGUUGGAGUUCAUAUAUAAGUAUCAGUUCAUUCUUGAAUUCUGAUGUUCCUUGCCCUGAACAUUUCGAAAGCCUCUUCACAGCUAUUUCUUGUCCCGCCGCCAAUUUCCCCUGAAUUGAUAAUCCAUAUCAUGUUUUUGCUGUCAUCUUUAGGCAAAUGAAGCUAAUUCCUUUUUUUUUUCUUACAGCUUUUGAAUUAGAACUUGGGAGCAGCCUCUCCAUAAAUGGGGGUAAGGCUAGCCGACAUUCACCUCUCCCAGACCCUGCGUAAAGCGGGAGCCUUGUGCACUGGGUACGACAGCUUUUGAAUUAGAAGCAGAAAUUUUUUUUUUUCAAAAUGUUACCUUAAACCGGUCCAAACCCUCCUUGUCCUAGCUUGUUUUCUUCAGCAAAGUUGCUUGUGGCAGCCACGAUGGAUGAAUAGCUAAAAACGCUAAAAUCAUGAUGUCGCUUAGAUUUCAUGAAGAUAAUCAUUUCGUUCUCAAUCGUUGUCCGGUUCUCACCUAUACAGAUCAAUUAUAAGAAAUUAAAGUUUCAAUGGAGACAACAAUUGUCAAAGAUGUGAUUAAUAAUCCUGUCUUAUGUUGGAUUAUGUGGCCAAGUGGCCAUAUACUUUAGAUUAAACAAACCAAAGGUGGACAACACCUUUCCUUGUUUUGGGGAGGAAAAUAGGGAAAAGGUUUUUUGUCUUGGUCCAUGGGAAGUCACGGUUGAGGUUUUGAAUAAUAAGUUUUGGUUGUAAUGAGAAGUAAGAGUGGGAUAGAAGAGAAGAAAAUAGAGUGCAGAAAAUUGAGAGAGCCGAAGAGAAGAGAGGGAGAGAAAGAAGGUACUGCUACAGUACCAUUUUCAGAGAAGGGGUUGUUGUUCCUUUCAUUGGAUAAUUCUCACUCCAUCAAAGUGUUAUUGUUGUAAUAGCUUUGAGCUUUGUAUAGAGAAGAAAUUAAUCACUAUAUUUCUUUCUCUAUUUGUUUCUUUGGAGUGUGAGUUAUUGGGUUAUUUGGGUUGUGAGAUUGCCAACACUUUGUAAACUCCCAUUUGGUUGAUAGUGGAUUCUUGGGUGAGCUCCUACUGCUCCGAGGACGUACUCUAGUUACACUGACUGUUGAGGAACCUCGUUAAAAUCUUGGUGUCUUUAAUAUUUUGUUCUUGCAUUUUAUUUGAUAUAUUUCCUGUGGGUUAGCUUGAGUUGGUUCCACAAGGGUUUGGUGCUAUCCUAGCACAACAAUUGGUAUCAGAGCACUGGUUGCUCUUGGGUACUGUCUAGUUGCCAAAAAUGUCAGACGGGCAAGAUGAAAAUCCUUUUGGAAGCAGCUCCGGGUUUGCAAGAACGACGGUGCAAAAUGCAAAGUUCGAAGUGGAAAAGUUUGAUGGCACACAAACAACUUCGGGAUGUGGCAAUGUGAGGUCAAAGAUGUGUUGGCUCAACAAGAUCUACUUGCCGCGUUGGGAGAGAAGCCGGAAACUAUGUCGAAGCCGGAAUGGGAAAAAUUAAAUUUGUGGGCUUGCUCUUCAAUUCGGUUGUGCCUUGCAAAAACUCAGAAGUAUUUUGUGAUGCGGGAGACGGUAGCAAGUGUGUGUUGUGGCAAAAAUUGGAAGACAAGUAUAUGACAAAGAGUGCAGAGAACCGACUACACUUGAAGAAAAAAGCUCUACCGCUUCCAAUACAAAGAAGGUACAAAAAUGAUUAGACACCUUGAUGCUUUUAAUAAGUUGAUUGCCGACUUGUUAAAUUUAGAUGAGGAUAUUAAGGAUGAAGAUAAGGCCUUAAUAUUGUUGAAUUCCUUGCCGGACUCUUAUGAGCAUUUUGUUACAACUAUUAUGCAUGGUAAAGAAACUGUGAAAUUUGAAGAUGUGUCAAAUGCCUUGAUGAAUUAUGAAAUGAGGCAUAGAGAUAAAAAUCAUGAUAGUACCUCUGAAGCUUUAUUUGUUAGAGGUAGAUCAUCGGAGAGGAGGUCAUCUUCUAGCAGGAAAAAAUCACAGUCUCGACCUAGAGGAAACUCUAAAGGUAGAAAACCUUUGGAAAGGGAUGAAUGUGCCUUUUGUCGUAAUAAGGGCCAUUGGAAGAAAGAUUGUCCCAAAUUGAAGACCAAAGGAAAAGAAAGUUCUGAAGCUAAUGUUGCUGAGGUUGAAACAGAUUUUUCUGAUUUUGCUUUAACCACUUCCUCAUCAUUUGAUUGUGCUACUAAGUGGGUGUUGGAUACGGGUUGUACUCAUCAUAUGACUCCUCACAAGGAUUGGUUUUCAAGCUUGAAAGAGUUUUGAUGGUGGCGUUGUGUUCAUGGGAGAUGACAAUCCUUGCACAACAAAAGGGAUUGGUACAGUUCGUUUGAAGUUGCAUGAUGGCAUGGUUAAAGAGUUGACAGGUGUUCGGUAUGUACCGAAUUUGAAGAAAAAUCUUAUUUCUUUGGGUACUUUGGAAUCUAAGGGUUUCAGGUUUCAUUCAGAUGGACAGACAUUGAAAGUUACUUAUGGUGCACUUGUUGUGAUGAAAGCUCCUAGAUGUGGCCAUUUGUAUUUAUUGCAGGGAAGCACUGUGACAGGUGAAGCAUCUGUAGUCUCUGAAAAUAUGGGCACAUCUGAUUCAGAUACUACUAGAUUGUGGCAUAUGAGAUUAGGCCAUGCCGGUGAGAAAGCUCUACAAGGGCUUGUGAAAAAAUGUCUUCUAAAAGGUGCCACGACUUGUAAGCUUGAUUUCUGCGAGCAUUGUGUCUUGGGAAAGCAAACUAGAGUGAAGUUUGGUACUGCUGUACAUCAGACGAAGGGCAUUCUUGAUUAUGUGCAUUCGGAUGUUUGGGGUCCUACAAAGACUCCCCUCUUUGAGUGGUAGACAUUGGUUCGUGACCUUUGUUGAUGAUUAUUCAAGAAGGUCUUGGGUCUACACUAUGAAGCAUAAGAGUGAGGUGUUAAGCAUUUUCUUGGGUUGGAAGAAAAUGGUUGAGAACCAGACUGGGAGAAAGAUUAAGAUUUUGAGAUCGGAUAAUGGUGGUGAAUACACAUCCGAUCCUUUCUUUAAAGUUUGCAAAGAGGAAGGAAUUGUGAGACAUUUCAGUGUUCGGGGAACUCCACAACAAAAAUGGAGUUGCAGAAAGAUUGAAUCGAACCUUGCUUGAGAAAGGUUAGAUGUAUGUUGUCUCAGUCGGGUUUAAGCAAGUCAUUUUGGGCAGAAGCAGUUAAUUAUGCAUGUCACAUCAUCAACCGGUUACCCUCAGCUGCUAUUCAGGGUAAGACACCAAUGGAGGUAUGGACUGGAAAACCUUCUUCUGAUUAUGAUCAUAUUCGUAUUUUUGGUUCACCUGCUUAUUUUCAUGUAACUGAAAAUAAACUUGAUCCUAGAGCCAAAAAGGCUAUCUUUCUUGGUUUUAGUAGUGGUGUCAAAGGUUACAGGUUGUGGUGUCCAGAGAUGAAGAAACUGGUAAUUAGUAGAGAUGUGACAUUUGACGAAGAAAGUAUGUACAAAGUCUCUGAGAAGAAUGUGAAAGAUGUCCAACAGGUGGAGCUUGAGAAAGUUGCUUCUGGUACUUCAAAUCCUAUUUCCGCUGAUGUCGAAGCCACUACAAGUGAAGAAGUUGGAGACCAUGAGGAUGUUGAAGAAGUUGAACUUGAAGAUUCUAUUCAAGUUGAAGAGCAAGUUUCACCUCAAGAGUCUAUUGCCAAGAACAGAGGAAAGAGACAAAUUACUAAGCCAGCUCGGUAUAGUGAUUAUGUUGCUUUUUGCUCUUCCUAUUAUCACUGAAGAGAUUCCAUCCAAUUUUGAGGAAGCUAUUGAGAGUGAGGAGAAGAAUAGGUGGUGCAAUGCCAUGGGUGAUGAGAUGAAUUCUCUCUUGAAGAACAAGACUUGGGAGUUAGCUAAAUUGCCUAAGGGCAAGAAAGCUAUUGGUUGCAAAUGGGUGUAUGCCAAGAAGGAAGAUGCUGAUGAGAAAAGCAAUGUGAGAUUUAAAGCAAGAUUAGUUGCUAAAGGGUAUGCACAAAAGGAGGGCAUUGACUACAAUGAAAUCUUUUCUCCGGUUGUGAAGCACUCCUCAAUUCGCAUUAUGUUAGCUCUUGUUGCACAGUAUGAUCUUGAGCUUGUGCAACUUGAUGUAAAAACGGCUUUCCUACAUGGUGAUUUGAAUGAAGAGAUUUAUAUGUGUCAACCAGAUGGGUAUAUAGUGAAAGGGAAGGAGAAUUUGUUUUGCAAAUUGAAGAAAUCACUUUAUGGUUUGAAGCAAUCUCCAAGGCAAUGGUAUUUGAGGUUUGAUAAAUUUAUGAGAGGCCAAAAUUAUUCUAGAAGUCAAUAUGAUCAUUGUGUGUACUUCAAGAAGUUGCAAGAUGGGUCUUUCAUUUAUUUAUUGAUAUAUGUUGAUGAUAUGUUGAUUGCCUCAAAGAAUGUCGAAGAGAUUGAGAAAUUGAAGAAGCAAAUGAAGAAUGAGUUUGAGAUGAAGGAUCUUGGUGAAGCGAAGAAGAUCCUUGGCAUGGAGAUCACUAGAGAUAGAGCAAAGGGUUUCGUCAGUUUGAAUCAAAAACAAUACCUUGAGAAGUUGAUUCGGAAGUUUGGAGUUCAUGAUUCAACCAAACCGGUUAGUACCCCUUUGGCUCCUCAUUUUAAAUUGAGUUCUCUACAAUGUCCUAAAAUCGAUAAAGAGAAACUGCAAAUGAAAAAUAUACCAUAUGCAAAUUUGGUUGGUAGUUUGAUGUAUGCAAUGGUAUGCUCUAGACCGGAUAUUGCUCAUGCAGUUGGCAUGGUGAGUCGAUAUAUGCAUAAUCCAAGUAAAGAGCAUUGGCAAGCAGCUAAGUGGAUAUUGAGGUAUCUCCAUGGUACUCGAGAUGUUGGUUUAUGCUUUGAGAGGGAUGACUCUGGUAUUGGUCAUUUUGCAGUUGGUUAUGUUGAUUCAGAUUAUGCAGGUGAUCUGGAUGGAAGGAAGUCUACUACAGGCUAUGUGUUUACUAUGGCUAAAGGGCCAGUUUGUUGGAGGUCCAUUUUGCAGUCGUCUGUUGCCUUGUCUACUACAGAGGCUGAAUAUAUGGCAGUUGCUGAAGCUAUAAAGGAGGCCAUUUGGAUACAUGGGCUUAUUAGAGAUUUGGGGGUUGAUCAGAAGCAGGUGGAGGUACAUUGUGAUAGUCAGAGUGCCAUUUAUUUGGCUAAGUAUCAGGUUCAUCAUGCGAGGACCAAGCACAUAGAUGUGCGUUAUCACUUUGUUCGUGAAAUUGUUGGUGAAGGGGAAAUCAUUCUCCAGAAGAUUCCAACUAAAGACAACCCCGCUGAUAUGUUGACUAAGGUUGUUGGUGUAGCCAAGUUUGUUCACUGUUUGAACUUGGCUCACAUUUUGCCUAUAUAAAGAAGGCGUUGAGUAGUAGGAGUUUUGGAGCAUUUGGCUCAGCAUGAGUUGUUCUCUUGCUAGUGUUUGGGAGUGAUGUUGUGUGCUAAUUGUGUUGGUUGGCUUAUCAUGGCGUUUUCGGAACUUGGCCAAGGUGGAGAUUGUUGGAUUAUGUGGCCAAGUGGCCAUAUACUUUAGAUUAAACAAACCAAAGGUGGACAACACCUUUCCUUGUUUUGGGGAGGAAAAUAGGGAAAAGGUUUUUUGUCUUGGUCCAUGGGAAGUCACGGUUGAGGUUUUGAAUAAUAAGUUUUGGUUGUAAUGAGAAGUAAGAGUGGGAUAGAAGAGAAGAAAAUAGAGUGCAGAAAAUUGAGAGAGCCGAAGAGAAGAGAGGGAGAGAAAGAAGGUACUGCUACAGUACCAUUUUCAGAGAAGGGGUUGUUGUUCCUUUCAUUGGAUAAUUCUCACUCCAUCAAAGUGUUAUUGUUGUAAUAGCUUUGAGCUUUGUAUAGAGAAGAAAUUAAUCACUAUAUUUCUUUCUCUAUUUGUUUCUUUGGAGUGUGAGUUAUUGGGUUAUUUGGGUUGUGAGAUUGCCAACACUUUGUAACUCCCAUUUGGUUGAUAGUGGAUUCUUGGGUGAGCUCCUACUGCUCCGAGGACGUACUCCAGUUACACUGACUGUUGAGGAACCUCGUUAAAAUCUUGGUGUCUUUAAUAUUUUGUUCUUGCAUUUUAUUUGAUAUAUUUCCUGUGGGUUAGCUUGAGUUGGUUCCACAAGGGUUUGGUGCUAUCCUAGCACAACAUCUUACUGGUGCACAUGAUUUAAAGAAAUAUACCAGCUGAUGCAAGGGCUGAUCUUCUUCGUUGGAGUAGAUAGUACGCGGUGCAAAGCACUAGAGCAGCAGCUAUAGAAAUGCCAAUCCAAACCCAUUUAUCUGCUGCAUCAUAAACAAUUAGCUAGCAACAUAUGCAAUCAGCGUAACACACACGCACAUGUACGCAUUAAUUGUCUUCAAUUUUUGGAUGAACUAGGUCUUGCAGGUUUCUUCCAGAAAACGAAGAAAAAUCCGAGACAGAGAGCAGAACUUAAGACAACAAUAACAAAGAUAGAGGUACCUAAUAAUACUGAUUCCACGCGUGUCACAGAUUUCCGGCUUAAAUCGGGUUUGCAGCCUCGGUAUAUAUCCUUCGGAUCAAGAAAAGAAAACCCUUUUGGGCAUUCGCAGGUUGGCCUUUUAUCUGGUUUGAGCUUACAGGUACUGUUGUAACCGCAAACACCAACGCCCAGUCGUAGGCAAAUAUCAUCCGGCAUAUACACCAGAGGACUAAUCCAGCUUGCAUUUCCAGUGAAGUAUUUCGGGUGAGAAUAUAAAGCGAAAAUCCCAUCAAAAUCAAGAGUUGCCCUUAUGUAGUUGUCCCUCACCGACACUCCCUCUGUCCCCUUAAGAGGGACUCUUCCAUCAUUUUCUCUCAGAACAGACAUGUCCCCUGAGCUGCUGAACACCAAUUCUUUGCCUUGACUACCUGGCACGUUCCCUGCGGUGGUCUUCGUGGAGAAGUAAGCUUUCUUGGCCUUAUCUGUUGUCAAGUUGACGGAAAUGAGCACGAGGUUUCCAUCAUCUUGCAAGCGCAGCUGGAACCGCCCUUUUGUGUAGUUAGUCUCCGAUUGUCUACACGAAAGCUUCCCAUUUCUCUCAAUUGUCUGUCCAGGCAAAACGGUGUCUGUAGGAUUGCUGAAGGUCUCCCACAAGCUCCCCGAGUUUUGGUGUUGAAGGACAAAGUUUCCGGUGUCAUUCAUGACCCCGUUCGCAACAGUCCCCAAGGUUAUUUCGGAUUUCCAUAUCUCUCCACCCUGAGGAUUGUUAAGAACUAGUCCACUGUUGGCAGUCAAGUUCAGAACUGAUCCCCUAGGUGCAACCAUGGGGUUGUUACCGUCGUAUGCAUACCAAACCACGGUUUUGUCUGGGAUAUUCGCAUACCAUAUCGAAAGCAAGAAAAGAUCAUUGUUUCCGAGGGGCGAAAAUCCAAACUCGAAAUCACCGGAUGGAGAAAGCCAUGAUGAGGAGUCGCCUAUAGUUGCAGUUAGAGAACUCCCAACUGCUACUCUUCCAUUAUUUUGGGAAAUCACAGAAAUUGGUAGCAAAAACAAAGAGAACAAAAGCAUCUCUACAGAAAGAGCCACUGCCAUUGCAAAAGCACCAAUUUUUCAACUUGGCUUAACUGAUUAGCUAUAUUUCUUAGUAAAGCAUUGGUCCUUGUUUAUAUCUUCAAGUAAAUGUGUGUGCAUGUGCCUGUCAUUUUCUAAGUUUUUGCCUGGAAUCAUUUUUUGAAGUCAAUGUUACCCAUCAGCCACGAUAUGACCUCAGACCUCGCUACAUCACACACAAUAAUAUCUCCGGGCCUACAGAAUAAUUUCUCCAAACCUACACAUAUCACAAGAAUUUCACUUUGAAAAAAAUAAUAUAAUGAACAGUUUUAUAUAUAAGACACCGAUACCGAUACUUUUUGUGAUAGAACUUAUUGUCUCUCUCAAUUCCUUGUAAUGUUGCAAGUUGGAGCAAUAUUGAUGUAAUUAGUAAUGGCCCGCUAACUUGCCUCUCUCAAAUCUCUUUUCAUCCUACUCUCGUCCCUCGUCCGUUUUAUGAUUCUACUUAAUUAAGCACUUAUAAGUGUUCCAAAUCAAACUUGUAACUUAAAUAAUUAAAAAUAUUUAUCACUACACUGGGGAUUCUAGGUUCCAAAAUAUAAUAUAUAAUAUAUAUGAAUGUUCCAAACCAAAAGGACAAGUAAAUACGAGCAUGACUCACGCUGCAUGUGUCGGCCAUUCAAGUCCACAAGUCAAAAUUCAACAAUGGGGCCCACAAAGAAAAUUUGAAAAAGUACAUGCAGAUUGAGGACGUAUACAAAGAAUCUGAAAACAAACCUCCAGGACCAAACAAAGACGACUAAGUCUCCAUUUCUGUAUUCACACAAACCAAAGUACUAACUGAAGUUUUUAAUGUAUGAUUACGUCAUUGGGGUAAAACACCCGAGGCCGAGUUGAGAUAAUCACAGGGUUGGGGAAUCGAGAUCCUCUCCGAAUGUCACAGUCUGGCACAAACGAACGUAGAGAUCCGAACCACUUAUUUUAAAUUCUACGGUCUUCAUUAGCCUAUCCUAUUGGCCCACAUCACACAAGGGGCCCAAAUCUUUCUCUCCCCUCUCUUGAACGGUUUGGAUAUCUCGGUCUGUCGAUUUUGGAUUGGGAGAUUCAAAGAGAAUUUGAUUUCGGGUUUGAGGUGUGGUUCGCCGACCAUUUGAAGCUCGUUGAGGCGUGGCCCAUCUCAUCCACGUCGGGAUAGCCAUUUCGUACCAAGUUGGAUCCCAGGUCAGGCCAGUCAUUUCAUUAGCCUAAGAUAGACCUGACAGACGAGGCGCUUGGAUAUUGCCUACCGCGACCAAAUGGACCCAUGGGCUCAUUAGAUGAUGAGUCUGGACCCUGGGGUGUGUAAAGCCCACCUCAGCUCGAUCCAUAUUCGGUCGAUACUUAAGGGAAGGUGGAUAUGGGGUAAAGGUAGAGUAAGCUCCAAGCCAUGUGGAGGUCAGUCGAGAUUGAACACACAUUCAUAGAAUCAUAGUAUGAAAUUCAAGUCCAAAUUUUAACACUACGAAACCGAAAAGCAUGCAACUCCGAAGAGCAUUGUUUCAGUCCAACAACCUAAACUUCCUUAAAAAACUAAGACAAAAACGACGACACUAGUAAACGGAAAAACAUGCAACUCAGAAAACCAUUGCUCUAGUCUAAAUGAGGUUCCUCAAUGCCUCAAGCUUUUCUAAACACCAUAGCCUGAACCUUUUCCUUUGCGCCUUCUUUGCUUCACCAGAAACGUUCUUAAUGAGCUUCCUUCAAAUUUGGGACGAGCAGGCAUUAGGCUGUGCACAAUGCUGUAAAUGCCCCUAGCCCUUGCCACACCCUAGGUGCGUACGCUUGCAUGUCCGACCUGAGUUAUCUCAUUACGCGCGCAGUUUGAUCUUCCCGUAUUGACAUCCCUGCUGUCUAUUCUCAUGCGAAUCCUUUUGCUGGUGACUUCAUCCGGGUCCAUUUUCUUGCUCCUCAGUGCAUGUUCAUCUGCUUUUCCCUAUUAAUAAAUAUAGGAAUCCCAUAACAAACAGCAUUUGACAAAACAGAACGUAAUAAUAACAACAAAACUUGACUUCAUCCUCAUUGCAUGUUCAUCUGCUUUUCCACUUCAAAGCAGCUGACGGCACGAUUCGUACUUGGACUCCAAGAUGUCUAGAUUAUGGAGAAACUAUCCCUUUGUCCAAAACACACAAAGAAGUGGAUUUUCCGUUUAUACCAAGUGUGUUGAAGCAUGUCCCACAUGGCCACAUCGGAAACUUGUUGAAGUUUAAAUCCUCUUAUAUAGAAAGUUCGACUACUAAUUGCCUUGAGGCCUUAAUUUUGUAUAAAACCAUACCUAUUGAAUUGCACACGUGCUUAAGUUAAGGUUAGUAUUAAUGGUAAUUAGUAGUGGGCCGCUGGUCGUCUUCAAAAAACUGGUACAAAGGGAAGAUUUAUAGAAGCAGUGUUGAGAUAAAGGCAAUUCAUCUGUUCUUUUUAGAAGGAUAUAAAUGAAGCAAGGUUUAUCUGCUCACCCGUAAUGCGGCUCAGCCCUUCAUCAAAAAGUGAAAUAUCAAAAUUACUUUUACAGCAAGAGCAAUACCAGAAGAUGUAAUCUAAAUUGUUUAUAUUUGGUUCCCUUGAAAUCCUUUUGACUGUUUCAACAUAGUAUAUGUUGGUAUUUAAAAGUUUAGAAACUUAAUACCAAUUAUGUGGGUGAUAGGUUUUCUAACUCUAUCACACCUCUAUCUCUUUUACUCUCUUUGAAAAUGGAUCGAUAGAAAGAAAAAACAGCAAGCUUCUUAAAGAAACAAGUACUUGAUAUAUUAAAAGAGUUUCAACUCUAUUGCUGAAAAUAUGGAAUGGAAUUACAAAGAGCCUUACGGAAAGGCAUUCUUAUACUUGCAAAAAACAAGAGAACCACACAAGUGGUUUUCAUAAACAAAUGCAAACAAAGACUUUCUAGACUUAGCUAGUGGAAAACUAUCCAUGCAAAAUAAAAUAAAGGGGUUCAAAGUCUUUACUUGCAGCAGUUUUAGACUAUUGAACACACACACACACACACUACUUUAUUCUAGUGGUUUACAACCACAUUUCGGCUAGCACAGAAGAGAAGCAUUAAUUUGGGUAAGUGCAGGAAGUAUGAGUCAAAAGAAACAGCUAGCAGCCCACUAACAUUGAAAUAAUGUUUUUAUUUGAACUUCCAACACUCCCCCUCAAAUCAAAACACCUUCAUUCCUAGCAUGUCAUGCAGCAGCCGGAAUGAUUCAAUUGGCAGUGGCUUUGUGAAGAUGUCAGCCACUUGUUCCUUGGUGUGACAAUAGAUAAGCUCAAUUAUCUUUUGCUUCACAUGAUCCCUCAGAAAAUGGAACCUGGUAUCGAUGUGCUUGCUCCUUCCAUGUUGAACAGGAUUCUUUGCAAGCUUGAUUGCAGACAUGUUAUCCACAUGAAUCACAGUAGAUUCCACUUGUGGAUGACAUAAAGAUUUCAACAGAUUUCUUAACCAAAUUGCCUCACACACAGUUAAGGCUGCAGCAACGUACUCGGCUUCACACGAUGACAGAGCAAUAAUUGAUUGCUUCUUUGAAGUCCAUGAGAAAGCUGUUGAUCCUAGAAAAAACACAUAGCCAGUUGUACUUUCCCUUUCAUCUUGGUCACCUCCCCAAUCACUAUCUGAAUAACCAAAUAAUUUUGCAUCUUCACCAAAAUUAUAAAACAGACCAUAGUUUAGAGUGCCUCUUAUGUACCUUAAAAUUCUCUUGGCAGCCAACCAAUGAGACUCAUUUGGUGUUUCCAUGUACCGACUCACGAGUCCAACACCAUAAACUAUAUCUGGUCUUGUGAUUGUAAGGUACCUCAAGCUUCCAACGAGGCUUUUGUACACGGUUGAGUUUACAAGCUCACCUUCUCCUUCCUUGGACAGUUUCAAUCCAGUUGCAACUGGAGUGUUGACAAUAUUGCACUUGUCCAUAUUGAAUUUCUCCAAUAUAUCUCUCAUGUACUUUUGUUGAGAGAUGUAGAUACCGUUACUUUCUUGCUUCACCUCUAUGCCAAGAAAGUAUGACAUUAAUCCAUUGUCAGUCAUCUCGAAUUCACUGAACAUGGAUUGCUUGAACUCACAGAACAUUGCUUCAUUGUUUCCUGUAAACAACAAGUCAUCUACAUAGAGACAAAUAAUUAAGAACUCCCAUUUUUCACCGUUCUUCAUGUAAACUGAAUGCUCGUAUGGACAUUUCUGAAAUCCAUUUUGGUGAAGGUAGUUAUCAAUCCUUGAGUUCCAAGCUCGUGGUGCUUGCUUGAGGCCAUACAAAGCCUUUUUCAAAUGAUACACCUUAUCUUCUUCUCCUUGUACUCGGAAGCCUUCCGGUUGUUUCACGUACACUUCUUCCUCAAGAACUCCAUUAAGGAAGGCUGACUUGACAUCUAGUUGAUAAAUUUUCCAUUUAUGAUGAGUGGCAAGAGAGAUUAGCAAUCUUACCGUGUCAAGUCUUGCAAUUGGAGCAUAGACUUCAUCAUAGUCCACUCCAUACUUCUGUUUGUAGCCCUUUGCUACAAGCCUUGACUUGUAUCAAUCCACACUCCCAUCUGCAGUGCGUUUGAUCUUGUACACCCACUUGACACCAAUAGCCUUCUGAUUUGGUGGGAGCUUUGUCAACUCCCAAGUGUCAUUCUUCUCGAUGGCAUGGAUUUCUUCCUCCAUGGUUAUUCUCCAACGAUCUUCUUCCACAGCUUCAUUGAAUGAGAGAGGCUCGUGGUCUACAUACAAGCAGAAAAAAUUGGUUUCUUCUUCUUCUUCUUGUCCAUAUAUCUCGGUGAGACUUCUUAGCCUCACUGGAGUUGAUGAGCUGCUUUCCUCACUGGAUGUAGGACCACUCCUUGCAAUUCUGUGCACUGGAGUUAUUGUGGUUAUUUGAGCAGGUUGUUGCUAGAUAGGUGGUACAACUUCUGGUUCUUCAAAAUCAGUGGAAACAAUCUUCUCUUUACUGACUUCUUUGUUGUUCCACUUCCAUGCAUCUUCCUCACUGAAGAUGACAUCUCCACUAACCACUAAUUUGCCAGUUAGUGGGUUGUAGAGCUUAUAUGCCUUUGACUCUUCACUAUAGCCCACAAACACACACUUUUCACCUCGAUUAUCAAGCUUCCUCCUCUUGGCUUCUGGAACCUGAGCAUAUGCAACACACCCAAAAACUCUUAGGUGUGCAACAUUCGGCUUGUAUCCACUCCAAGCCUCUUGUGGUGUCAUCCUCUUGACACUCUUUGUUGGACAUCGAUUCAACAAAUAAAUUGAACAAGCUACAGCUUUUGCCCACAAUUCUUUUGGCAAAUUCUUCUCCUUAAGCAUGGACCUUGCCAUGUCAAGGAUGGUUCGAUUCUUUCUUUCGGCUAUUCCAUUUUGCUGUGGGGUAUAGGCAGUAGUCAGUUGAUGCCUAAUUUCUUGCUCCUUGCAAUAUGCUUGGAAAGCAUUGGAGGUGUACUCUCCACCUCUAUUUGAUCUCACAGCCACAAGCUUGUGGUUGCUUUCAGCCUCUGUGAGUGCCUUGAACUCCUUGAAAACUUUUAGGGCAGCUGACUUCUCCUUGAGAAAAUAGACCCAAGUCUUCUUACUGAAAUCAUCAAUGAAGGUAAUAAAAUACCUAUUACCUCCAUAGGACAUAGGAUCUAACGGACCACAUAUAUCCGUAUGUACCAACUGCAGUGGUGCUUUUGCUCUCCAUGCAUCACCAACAGGGAAUGUGAGCCGUGUUUGCUUGCCAAGCACACAACCUUCACAUACUUGGCGUGUGGCUUCAAUCUGGGGUAGACCACGAACCAUUCCUCCACUUGACAGCAACUUUAGGCCAUUGAAAUGAAGAUGGCCAAACCGAAGAUGCCAUUUCCAUGACUUAUCUUCCAUUACACCGAUGUUGCAACUCCCAAUCCUUGUGUUCAACUUCAAUGGGAACAUUCGGUUCUUUGACAUUUGAACACGUGCAAUAAGUUUUCUCCUUGCAUUCCUAAGAGUGAGAAACAUAUCCUCCAUAUGUAUAAUAUACCCUUUCUGGAGCAGUUGACCAACGCUCAGAAUGUUGCUCUUCAUACCUGGUAUGUAGUAGGUAUCGAAGAUGUAUUCUUCUCUACCAUCCUUCUGGAUGAUUUUGAUCUUUCCUUUGCCUUCAACUGGCAACUUUGAGGAGUCACCAAGACUCACAGAUCCAUAAGGCCCAUCUUUGAGUUCGGCAAAAAACUCUUUCUUUCCACACAUAUGGUUGCUUGCACCAGAGUCCAAAUACCAAACAUCUUGUUGGUUACUGGAAUCAUGGUGUGCUAGUAAGACUGUAAAUUCCUCACCAGCAUUUCCACUUGAUUCUGCCAUGUUGACAUGCUCACCAUUUUUAUAUGAACAUUCACCUUUCCCAGACCCUGCGUAAAGCGGGAGCCUUGUGCACUGGGUACGACCUUUUUUUUUUUUUUUAUUCAUUGGCAUAAUGUCCAUAUUGCUUGCAACUGUGACACUGGAUAUGUGCCUUUCCUCGAGUAGAUCUGCAUUCUUGAGACUGAGCUCGAUUUUGUGCAUAGCCUCUACCUCUUCCUCGGGCUCGUCCUCGGCUACAGUUGGAUGAAUUCCCACGACGUGAGUUCCACUGCCCACGACCUCCAUUUGGUUUGUCAAUAUUCAACUUUGACUCCAAAGCUUGCUCUAGCGUUGUGGGGCUUGCAUUCUUCUGAAUGCGUUGCUCGUGAACUAUGAGGGAUCCUAGUAGCUCCUCUGCGCUCAUCGCCUCCAAAUCCUUGGAUUCCUCAAUGGCAGUCACCACAUGCUCAAACUUAGAUGUGAGUCAUGUGAGUGACUGGAGUAUCUUCUCCACAACUCGUACUUCAUCGAGUCUCUCGCUAUUUAUCCUCAUCUGAUUUACUAUCACAAUGAGCCUUGAGUGAUAGUCGGAGAUGCUCUCCCCUUCAUUCAUGUGAGUAGUUUCAAAAUCUGCUCGAAGUGACUGUAACCUCACUUUCUUGACUCGAUCUACUCCUUUGUAGAUUGUACUGAGUGUGUCCCAUACUUGCUUGCUCGUUGUUGCUUCUGCAACCUUCUCAAACGUUGAAUCUUCUAGACCCUGGUAUAGAAGAUACAACGCCUUCUGGUCCUUCUUUCGUAAGUCCUUGAGAGUGUUCCUUUGUUCUGCAGUAUAUGCGGCUUCUUGAUUGGCAGUGGGUACAACAUACCCAUUACUGACAACUUCCCAUAGCUCCUGUGAUCCAAACAAUGCUUUGAAUUGGAUGCACCAUCUUUCAUAAUUUUCUUUCUUCAAUGUGGGAACCUGGAGCUGCACUAAGUUGGACGCCAUAACUGCUGCACUUGCCAGAAUGGUAUUCUGGCUCUGAUACCAAUUGUUGGUAUUCAAAAGUUUACAAACUUAAUACCAAUUAUGUGGGUGAUAGGUUUUCUAACUCUAUCACACCUCUCUCUUUCUUUUACUCUCUUUGAAAAUGGAUUGAUAGAAAGAAAAAACAACAAGCUUCUUAAAGAAACAAGUACUUGAUAUAUUAAAAGAGUUUCAACUCUAUUGCUGAAAAUAUGGAAUGGAAUUACAAAGAGCCUUACGGAAAUGCAUUCUUAUACUUGCAAAAAACAAGAGAACCACACAAGUGGUUUUCAUAAACAAAUGCAAACAAAGACUUUCUAGACUUAGCUAGUGGAAAACUAUCCAUGUAAAAUAAAAUAAAGGGGUUCAAAGUCUUUACUUGCAGCAGUUUUAGACUAUUGAACACACACACACACUACUUUAUUCUAGUGGUUUACAACCACAUUUCGGCUAGCACAGAAGAGAAGCAUUAAUUUGGGUAAGUGCAGGAUGAGUCAAAAGAAACAGCUAGCAGCCCACUAACAUUGAAAUAAUGUUUUUAUUUGAACUUCCAACACUAUAUGCAGAGAGAACCAGAACCAAGUCCAGACUCACUCGUAAUAGGUCUCUCCUCAUCCACAACAAUAUCCCAGCUUUCCCUUGUCGUGGUUUUCCCAUAUUUGUGCACCUUACUGCAAAGAGAGAGCAAGUUAACUUGUCAAAGAAAAACCAGAACAAUAGAUGCCAAUGCAGUUCAGAAAGUUUAUUUCCCUUCAUACCCAUUUCCAAAGUGCUCUUCUCCCCAUGUCCUUGACCAACCUAGACAUGAGAGAACAAAAACAAAGUCACAUCAGAUUAAAUUAUUGAAAGAAAAAGGUUCACUUACAAAUCGACAUUAGAAUCAAGCAACCACGCUAUGAAAUACAAAUUUAAAAUGUAACAAUUUACUGUGUCUGAAAGGAAUCUGUGAAAUAAAAUAGUUAAACCCUAAACAGCACCACUGCAAAUAGCAUAAGAAAAUUAAAAUUAACCCUAAAGAAAUUGGGAGAGAAGAAUAUGAAAAGGGAAUACCUUUCGGCCCUUUGAGUUAUUGGAAAAAACCCAACAGAGCAAAAGAUAAACAAAAAUACAGGAGGAAAGAAAAUAAAUUUUCAACUUGUAAGAUUCAUACACGAACAGAUUGGCGGUCAAAAGCAUUUCGAAACUCAGAGCCAUCAAGCUUUUUGAUCUGCAUGGAAAUUAUUUAUGAAGUUUGAGAUUCUUAUAGAUGCUUUAGACACAUCGACAUAUUGAAAAAGCAAUAUUCAACAACCUAGUACCCAUGCUCCCUAGAAGGGUACAGAAAAUAUGAAUGUCUGGACUCUGGAGUGAGAAAGUAAAAGGACUUGCCGCAUACUUCAUAUCUUCCAAGUUUGUGUAGUCUACAAUCCCUGUUGUGCCUACAAAAAAGGCAUAGGACAAAAGCUAAAUCAAUCGAAAUUCUGAUGUCUCAUGAUCUAGGUCUUAGGAUUAAACUACUGAAAUAACACUACAUGAAAUAGCUGUGUAUAUCCCAAAAAAAGUAUGAAAUCUGGUUGAUAAUUGAAGACUUCGAAGGGAUUUACCUUUGGAUUCUUUGGCUUUCAGAUGGAGUUUGCUUAUGUGUGGGGGAGAGAGGUGGAGCGGCUAGGGCUUGAGUAUGGAAGAGAUGAAAAAUGCAGAGAGCACCUGUUUUCGCUGAAGCAACUCACACACUCUGGACAAAUCUGCAAAUGUCUAAAAGGGGGAAAAUAUAAAAAGAAACCUUAACAACUGAAUUCAAAGAAACAUUAUUACAUUGUAAAUAACAUUUCACAAAAAAAAAAAAAAAAAAAAAAAACUGAACUAAACUAAUUACACUCGGAUUGCAAUGCUAUCAUUUAAUAAUAGGAAUUCCCAUAACUUAGCAGAAGACCUGCAUCUGCAAAGGAUUCUUUAAAACCUAUUUUUUUUGAACAACCCCGCACCUACAACACAUCCAGGCAAGGUAAACCAAUAGCACCCUCAUUCUAAGCUCUUCUGUGCAUAUAUACCCCUUAUAAGUAAUCUUAAUCAAUCAGUUAUCAUGAAUAUAGUCAGUUAUCACGAAUAUACAACUUAUAUUAAUUUUCUACAAUAUCCAACACACAAAUAUAACAGAAGAGGAAACUUUUACUUAAGCAGCACAAAAUGAUAUCCUUUGCAUUUCAUUCCAAAAUCCAUCACUCUUAUGUCUUUGCCUGCACAGUUUUUGCUCCAACAUAGCCCGCCAUGAUGAUAGCACUAUCAAUAAUUAAGACAUAAAGAAAGGCUAUCCUAGCUAGGUAUUAUCAUUGGAGUAAACCAACAACACCAUAAGUAAAGUAGCAGACCAAAUUUUUUCUAGAAUUGAUGUCUUAACAUGUUUAAGUAGCGAAAAGAUUACAACACAUUGGAUGUGUUAACACAUCCAUAAGCUAAUGACUCCCUCUCCGGAUCACUACAUCAUUCUUAAUGUAUUCAACAAUGCAGCAGCAAUUAAAAGUCCUUGGAAAAUGCCAAGCUACUACAAUGACAUAACGAAAAACUAUAUCUCACCUUACCCCCUUGUUGGCAUAGACUGCAUAUCCGCCCUUGUUCGGGGUGAAUCAUAAUCCUGAACUCAAUUAUCAUCAUCGUUGAGAAUGUCAAACUUUAAAUCAACCAUGCAUGGAACAAAACUUAGAAAUUAAACAAUUAUCAAAGCUUAUGAAGAAUGCUAAACCCAACUAAUUCGAAACAUAAAGUAACCCAAAAGAGAGAAAACUUAUAAAUUUUACAUAAAUUAUAAUCCUUAACAGAAGGAUGGAACAAAGCAGGUUCAUUCUUGAGAAUAGAUGUAAUUUUGCACAUUGCAUAUAUGUAGAUUAAGGCUGGUGGUAACAUACCUUGUAAUUUGUACAAAUUAGGAUUUUCAUUCAAAGAACCAUAAUAUACACAAUUACAAAAACAGUGAUUCAAACUUGUUCUUCUCUUAAGGAAAUUACUCACAGUUGAAAUUCUGAAUGGACGAAGUUUUGGCAUCCCUUUCUGACUAUAUUUGAUUAACCUUUUUUUAAUCCAAUGAGUGCCUUCAUGAGAGAGAGAGAGAGAGAGAGAGGAAUAUUAGGUGAAAUGUAUUGCCAAAUCACACAGAGAUCAAAAUCUUGAAUAUAUAUGUUUAACCAUAUCAAAGUGAGUGUGUGAAAGGGUGUAGUCUGCAGAAAGGGCAACAUUUUCACUGCUAGAAAGUUGGAAACUAAACUUUUACACAGAUAUUGGAUUUUAUUAAUUCCCUCCGCGAAUUGAAAAGCAAAUUGUUCGAGUAAUGCAGGUAAAUUCGAUAUACAUAUGCGUUGAUCUAUGUAAGACAGUUAUAAGUUAUAACUGUAUCGUCUUAACACAAAAAUGAUCAUAAAUGUAAGUGUCUGUAUUAUGGAAGUAAGGGACUUACAGCAAUUGCUAUGAGCUAUAACAGCAGUCACUCCAAGUACCCUAUUAUGGAAGUAAGGGACUUAUAUCAAUUGCUAUGAGCUCUACCAGCAGUCUCUCAAAGUGGUGCAACGGCUAAAAUUAUAAAUAAAAAGUAAUUUAAACAAUUUAACUUAAUAAAAUAUUGUAAUUUAAACAAUGCCUAUAUAUUCAAACAUCCCAAAACAGGAAUGAACUUCCAAAAAACAUGCGCAUGAAAAUAAACGGCAUUACUCACCCAUUGAGUUGGACCAUCAAACUGGAGCGUAAGAAGGAUCAUCAUGUACCUAUGAAACCCAAAGGAAACUUUUAGCAACCCCAAAGCUUGUAUGCAAGCGUGAAUAAGUAUGCGUGUAUGAAUCUAUUCAUAGUGAAGAAGGCUACCUUAAGAAAUAUUUGCAUCUGCAGCUUCAUAUGGCCAUACAACAAAAAGCAUCGCAUAUGAUAACAAACCCCAGCUGCACCACAAAAGGAAUAUGAUCUUCCUCUCAACUUGUAUUUGCAGUUGUUACUGUAACAUCUGCAGACAGCAUACAUAAGCACUGAUUCGAAAAUUCUAAAGGAAAAAAAGUCCUUAUUCGAUAAUGCACCAAAUCCUAUCCGAAAACCAAGGGGGUGCCAUAUCCCUAGAUUAACAGAGCAUCUUUCUUUGUUCCAAAACAAAUUGCAAUUGGCUUUGGUAAAGUAGAAAGAUUACCAGAUACCGACUCUGUUCCAUUAUUCGACUGUCCUUUUAGUUCUGUCUCUCAACAUGGGAAAUACAAUAAGACAGUAAAAACAAAAGUUAGUGAUGCUAUUACAUAGUGAAAGAAAAUAAGACAUUCACAUAUUGAUAGCUAUUUACUGUCCUUUCUCAUCAUAAUCUUGGCCCAUAUAUAUAUAUAUAUAUAUUGAAUUUUGAAAGCAAUGAGAGAAAUAUACCUUUGGGGCGUCACUGCCAGAAGGGUGAGUGAGGGAUCUAAGAUGUUUGAGAGCAGAAAUUUUUAAGUAAUUUGUGCGAAAAAGUUGAAGAGCUUCGAACAGAGUGGAGUGGGUUGGCCUGGGCUAAAAUAAAGAGGAUGAACUCUAGAAAGUAGAAAAUGUUGUGUUCAACCAAACUCAAAAGUAAAGAAACCAUACAAUUAACAUAUAAAUAAGUUUUAUAUACCAAUGAUUACAUGUACGUUGUUUGAGAAGGUAAAUUAGCAACAUAUACAGUGAUCAAAAGAUUAACAGCAAUAAACUGCUCAUUAUUCAAAAUAUACAAGAAAGUUGUCAUUCACAUGAUCCAAAUGGUAGAGGACAAAACAGAAGGAAGCAAAUAUUAUAGCAGCAUAAGUUGAAUAAUUGCAGCAAGUAAACAAAUAGAAAGGCUAGCUAGAUUACACAAUCCAGUUCUAGGUCAGACUAACCAUGUUAGCCAUCCGCCCACCACCAUCACCGUCGGCUUCUUAUUAAAAAUGUAGAAUAGAAGACUCAAAAACUGGAAAUGAAAGUAGGUAACAUUGAGUUUUAAUAACCAAAAAGGGACACUGUUUAAGCAGCUCCACAACAGCAAUAAUACUUGGACGAUGAGCUGCAAAAACAGAAAAGAAAACACAAAUUAAACUAAAAAAAUAUAAAAUUUAACACUAAUCCAAGGAUUAAAUAUCAAAUAUAAAGUCAUUAGGAUUGGGACCUUUGCAUUGAGGAAUAUCUACUACAUUAUGAGUUCCCUCCUGAUAAAGCCCAAUCAGGGGGUUUUCCGAUGAGCCAAGAACGGCUAACUUUGCGUGACACCGCCAUCCCCACUAACACCAAACCAAGAUAAUAUCAAGAUCAAAACUAACCAAUACCAGAAAGAUUUUUUUAUUUAAAUUUUAAGAAAAGACCUAAACUUUACGAAAUUAAGGGGGAAAACAAAGUUAAGUAAAGCACCAAUUUGCAACUGUCAAAAGUGAAAUAUGAGACUGCAACUGCCUAGAAGAACUCCGUGGCCUCAUCGACGAUGACCGGAUGGUGGAGAUUGAACUGGUGCGUACACCUGGAGCACCUGAUUAUACACCGAACAUAGAACAAAAUUUAAAUCAAGUCGAACAAUAAUUGUGAGAAAAUAAACUAAAAGGGAUUUGAGCUGAGAGUUACGAUUCGAAGUGCGGCAAUGGAGGGUGCAGGUUAGCGGCGGCAGAGGAGGGGUUGAGCUUGGGCUCAGUGAGAGAGAAGGUAGUGCUAAAGGCACUAUUUGUCAGCCAAUCAUGUAAUAGGCACACCACUUUUCUAUAUAUGACAAAAAUUAGGAGUUCUCCAAACUAAAGCAUGAAAUUAGAUUCACCAGAGAAUUGGAAAUUGCACAUGAAAAAAAUAAUAUACAUCAUGCCAUUUGUGAUUUUGAAAGAAAAAAAGAAUACCUUCUUCAGGUCCGCUUUAGUAGGUGGAGGCUCUUGAUAGAAGAUUGGCAUUGGAGUCGUUUUACAAAUCAGUUUCUUCCUGAACAUCCUAAUGUCAGCUUCUAGAGUUUCCUGUAAAAGAACAGACAACAUUCAUAAUAAGAAAAUCUCUCUCUGCAAUCGUAGAAAUCCCUCGGGUUUCAGGAAGCAAAUGGAAAACGAAAUGCUUUUCUCCCGUAUCUCUCUCUCUCACCUCUGUCCCAUCUCUCUGUCUCCAAAUCGCAGAAAAGAAACCCUAAACAAAUCCCUGAAAUCCCUCGCCUAAAUCCUCCCACAUUUCUCUCGGACACCCCCCUCUUUCUCUCUGCAAACCCUAAACCAAAUCUCCUAAAUCCUAUCUUUGACACCCCACAUACAGCCAAGAUAUUAAAGCAAUCUCUAUAUAAUACUUUGGAACAAUGAAGAAAAAUGGUACUUACUUGUUCCUUGUCCAAAACCGUUGGUGCUGCCGCACAUUGUUAUCAAUUGUGGGUUGAUCAAAUCCUUCAUGGCUUAGACUGCAUGAAGAAUUAGAAACUAAAAGAUGAAUAUAUGCCGUAAAUCAUCAUAUAAAUGUAAGUGCAUUUAAAAAAAAAAAGGGAAUGACAAAAUUGAAUUCUAUUUCAUCAGUAUGUAACUGCAUGAAAAGUUACUUUGAAUGAAGACUCGAUCAAUUUCCCCAAAGUCAUUGUUAACUGAAAAUCAAUAUCAAACCCAUAAAUACCACAUUGAAUUUGACCAAGUUAAAGGAUAAAGGCACUCGCAUCAUCGUAUUACUCUUUGGGAAGAUCUUCUAAUAAUGGUUCUUCCUUUUUCUUGCUCUUCCUUAGAACUGCCAUAAAAACCCCAGAGAAGCAUACAAAUUCAGAAAAGAAAAGGUUCAAAACUGCCAUAAAAAAAAUCUAGAAAGCAUACAAAUUUAUCAGAAAGAAAAGUUCAAAUUACAAAUACCAAAUGAUGUGAGUAAGUAGUGAGAGGUUGUGUUAGGCACCUGAAACACGUUUUGGUUUCAAUUGAAAGGGCCAGAGACAACAUCCACAUUCUUUUUUCUUGGGUGAACUAACCAAAUCAUAUUAUAUACUAAAACGACAUAAAAAAUCAUUCACAAACUCACAACAAAAUAGAACAAAAAGAUUCACAAAAGAUUUGGGAGUUGAGACGCUAACAAAAACAUUUCUUUUCUAAACAAAUACACAACCGCUAAUCUGGGUUUGGUCAGUUUGACUAAAACGGUGCGCUAUUUUGCAUCUAAAUAUAGUAUAUCGCUUAAAUAAAAUUAAUAAAAAAUACACAUCCAAUGCUUUUAGUCUAAAGCUAGAAUUAGGAAUAACUGAGGAAGUUAAUGAAGGCAAAGCAGAGGGUAGGAAGCAGAACAUACCAAGAGACCAGUAGGCCAUCGGGGCCGGUCUGCCGAUGAACGCUGUGUACUGGUUGACAACGCCCAACGGAGUUGGCGCAGAAAAGAAGUAAAAGUCGAAACCACCCUCAAUGACCUUGUAGGUGAGAGAAGUCCCUCUGUAGAACACAUCCAUGCCAUUGCUGUUGAGCAGCAAAACGGAGUGCGCGUAAGCCUCGUUGCCCACAUUCCGGAGAUCCAUGUAAACUGGGUGGGACCCGUACAAAUCAGUGUUGAGAUUGAUCGCUGAGAAGUUAGUGGUGAAGAGGAUGUAUUUAUCGUUCGGGUAGAGCUUGAUCCCGUGCGGCUGAGAGUUCUCUUCGAGGCCGUACAAGGAGGAGUAUUUCGGCACUCGGGUGGAUAUCUUGAGGUCUAGUCCUUAAACACCAGUACUAGUCCAAUAAACCACUCCGCUUUUAUUGAUUUUCAAUUCAUGUUCAUUCGGGUCCCAAACAAGACUGAACGGCCCCAGAGCCGGGUUGUAGGUAUCUACAUAUGAUAUAAGUGCCCACGUGGCCAUCAUUGCGGUUGACACCUAACUUCAUACCCGGUAAAAAUGUGUAUCCAGGAUAAUCACUUCAGCCGAUCGAGGGUGAUUUGAGGUGUUUUCUAGCUGAAUUGGACUUCGACCCAAGUAUGAAAGUUGUUCCUCUUAUCGAGAUCUUCAUUCAUGUAAAAUUUGGGAAUUUUAGAAUUGUUGAAUUCUCCGGCGAGUCAGGGCUACCAGCCGCCACGUGUUUCGGCGCAUGGCCCUUUGGCCGCUGUCCCGUGGCGACUCGUGCGGUGAUGUAUGCAGGAAAACCUAAGGUUCCUCCUUAGGUUUUUCAAUGUACCAAACCCGAAUCCGCCGUCCUUUUUUCAAAAUUCUAACGUUUUCAUAGAGUUUUAUUAAACGACCUUUAAUUGUGUUUAGGUGCAUCGGUGGAGGUGACCUCAUUCUUGAUGGUUCGAGCGGCUUUCGGGCAAUGGAAAACUUGUGAGUGGACCCCUUCUAAACUUAUAUAUUGUUAUAAAAUAUUAGCCUAGCAUGCAUUCCAUAUUUCAUGAUUUGAAUAUGAUUUAUAAUAUGCUUUAUGGACUUUUAUAAUUAUGGUUUACGAAAUAGUUUGAUUUAUCGAAAUUACGUUUUAUUAGGUAUUGAAUUAUUGGAUUUGCAUAUAUGGAUUUCUAUGGUUUUCAAAUACGAUUUAUAUUACGGUUUUACGAACAUGAAUUAUUUUAUGGAUUUCAUGAAUACAAUUUAUCUUGGAUUUAUGAGAUGAGAAUUUGAGCUAGUGAGCUCCGGGUUUGAUAUAAGUUUUGAGAUAUGUUUUUGGUACUUAUCUAGUGGGUUAUCAUACGGCACAUCCGCACACCACGGGUAUAGAAUUGUAUGGCCAUAGGACACAGAUGAUGAGGAGGAGUAAGAUAUGAUAUAUUAUAUACCCCCAGUUCACUGUCGAAAGUAGUGUCAGAUAACUUCACUAGCCAUGGCUAGUGUCGGUAUGGAUGUUAUGCUAUUUCAUACAGCUUCACCUUCGGGUGAUAGACAGGUUAUUUAGCUUCACCUUCGGGGUGAUGGACAUGUACUACCUUCGGCCAACUAUGAUAGCCUUUGUUGAGUACUUCACUGACAAGAUUUACAAAUUUGCCUUCGGGCGACGGCAUUUUCAUUAUCAAGCAUUGGAUUUUACAUAUCUACCUUCUAAAUGGAUUUUCAUGGCAUGCUAGGGUUUUUCAUAAAGCCUAUAUGUAGUAUUAUAUAUGUUUUCAAAACAAGGGGUUAUUAUGUUCAUAAAUAAAAUGUUUUCCUAUUAUUAGUAUUAUUAAUAUAAACUUUGGUCCACUCACAUUUUCAGUUUUUGCGCCUCCACAGGAGUUAGGAUCGAGGCACAUGAUCCCGGCAUCAUGGCAUGUUGAUAUAGGUAUCCUUGAAUCUUCCCAGUGUAGAUAUCAUUCCCUUAUUCAUAUCUUUUUAUAGUGAUUCUUCCCUAUUAUUUCUAAUUAGUUGUAUGCUCUAAACACAUUCCUGCUUUGGUAUAAUCGUUAUAACUACUUAUCUUGUAAUUGUUUGCAUGUUUAAAAUGGUUUCGUCACCCUUGGGCGUGGGCUAGCACGUGCCUACCCUGGUAUGUUGGGAUAUCGGGGUUGGGGCAUGUCAAAGAUAGAGAGUGAAUUUCUAGCAGAUUCAAUGGUUGUCUACAUUUUAAAAAGAGCUUGCCGAAAAGAUUGAUUCAGAUGAAAUAACAAAGGAUUUCAAUUCCAUUAAGGAUUGAAGGGCACAACUUGAAUAGGUAUUUUUCUUUUUAUUUGUUAUGUUGUUAUGACAGGAUUGACGAUGUAUGUUUAUUUAUAUUGUAAGUUGCAACUUUAAAGGUUUUCUUUGUUAAAUCUAGUUGAAACUUGAUUCAUUUAGAGUUAAAUUUCUUACUUCAAAUUGUUGCUUUUAGGCUUAUUAUUGUGUAACUUUAUGCAAGCAACAAAAAAUUUUAACCAUUUGAUUUUGUACUAAUAAUUUUAGCUUAGCAUGCCACCAAAUAAUUCAUGGCUCCGCUAUAGAAAUCUUAGCAUGUGCAAUUUCAAAGUCUCGGUUGCCAAGUCUCCCCAGGCUGUUCAGCACCCAUUCUGAAUCUUGAUCGAGAUCUAGAGCAGUGCAAGUCAAGGAGUCUUCAUUCUCAUUUGAAACAAUGCUAAAAUUAUACCUCAGCUUGGACUCCUUGGGCAAAAUAUACCCAAAUGUAUUAGUACUACUUGUGGAUACACCACUAGUCCAAAAAAAUCACCUCUCCUUUCUUAAUCUUCAAUUGGUGAGGGUCCCAAUCAAGCGUGAAAGGCCCCGGCGCACGGUUGGCUUUAGUUUCCCAUGAUGAAAUCGACGAAACAUGGCCGUUUGUACGGUUGACACCCAAUUUCAUGCCCGGUAAAAAGGUGUCAACUGGUAAUCAAAGCUUUACGUUCACUUCUUCUUGUACAAAAUUUCCCGAAUCCAAAAGGAUAGCCACAACAGUAGCAAUACUGUACUUAUGUUGGUAGACCUAGUAGUUUGUGGAGCUGAGAAAAACGCAAUUGGAUUAGGAUCCCCCCCGCAUAAUUUUCAAGGUUUUAUUCCUGUCCAAGGCAAGAGUGCGUACAAAAUAGGGGCUUUACGGUUGCAAAUCCAAGCAAUGUUGCCAUCGGCCUUGUUGCUCUGGAUAGAUACGUAGCUGGUGCUUUUGGAACUGUCGUCGUGUACACAGGAACUGAAACUGAACUUCUCCGAUGCAGAGACCAAAGAACUUGAGGAGUUGAGAGUGUCUCCUGCUGGUUUCAGUGUGUCCCUUGCACUUGCAGCAUUGUGACAGGUCCACAGUCAGCAUGCAAAAAUGAUUAAGUUGAUUAUUGCCAUGAUUAAUUAAUGACCAUAACAUGAAGUUUAAUUUCUCCAUAUGAUGAGGAAGAAAGACAUGAAAUCCAUCACCAGAACAUGAUUAAGAAUUUAAUCAAGCAACGCGUCUUAGUUAAACCGUUACAAUCUUUGUACAAGGCAUUUAUAAAUUAAAAAAAAAGGGAAUAAAGUAAUAAUUACAAGUUUUACACAAGUGACCAUUUAUUACAAUGGUGGAAAGGUGUUAAGCUUUUGCAUGACGGUGUGAGUUCGAACCUCGUCGGUAGUUAAUCUAACUUAUAAUCUAAUAAAAUCUAUUUUUUGACCAAAAAAAAAUAAUUACAAGUUUUACUAAAAAUUUAGGGGUGUGAUAUCCACACACCCCUUUUUACUUCUCUCACACAUUUUUGAUUUCGACCGUCAAAUCGGAUGAGUUGAAGAAGAUCAACGGACAGAAAUUAACAAGGGAUGUGUGAGAAGUAAAAAGGGGUGUGUGGAUAGCACACCCCAAAAUUUACCGGAAGACUUGAUCACCCAUUUGUAUGCUGACAACGGUGACUAGAUUCACAACCUCUUUCCCACGUAAAUCACAUCAUCCAAUUUUAUUUUUCUUACAACAUAUCACGCAUCUGUCAUAUGCAAGACUUUUUUUUUUGUAUAACAUGAAAAAGAAGACUUUUUUGGAAUAUGGAGAGUGAAAUUGCAGCGGAAGCAUCCUAGAUUUUUGAUCGAAUAUUGAGUUUGGUUUGAUGACAGACUUCCUGGAUCAAACACACCCUAAAAAAUAUAUAUAAAAAACCAAUAAGGUCAUGUGAUACGACAUCAUUUCAAGAGGAAAGGUAAAAACAAUCUAGUUUCUAUACUAGGAAGAUUCACUCGAACAAAUUCUUGGAAACUAUGACUCAAACAAAAUUCUAGGAAUUCAGUAUUUUUAACAAAUGAUAAGCGUUUAAGAUAUAUUCUUUAUAAUAUUAGAGAAAUCGAACGGUUGAUGUAUAACUCGCAAAGUGGUUGUAGCUCAAGUAAUUUUACUCCCCAAUUUUACAUAAAACAUAAAAUAAAAACAAAUCCUAAUUUACAUGGUAAUUUUUUUUCAUAGCUAGGGACAACUUCGACUAUGGUAAUGCAAUUAAUAUACACUAGUUUUGGAUGGAGAAGUUUCAAGAUUGAGUAUGGGAUGGGGAGGGGCGAGAGACUUGGAUGGAGAGGUGAGGUUUUAUGAGUUAAACAGUGAUGCAAGGAUGUAUUACUUAAAACUUUAGAGACCGUAUGUUGGGCUAUAUAUAAUAUACGUUCCAUGGAUAAUUGUUUAACUCAUAAACGUUUUGAGUGUUUCUAACAUAUGCUUAUCAAAAGCCUUCUCGUUCCAUCAAACAAUACGAAAAUUUUCAAUUGAAUGAAAGACAUACUAUUUUAUAUAUCACAGUACUUCAUGGAUCAUCAUCAUCACAUAUCCUUAAUUCAAAGGUAAUAAAUGAGCAUCUAGUUUUAUUUUAAUUUUAUUUUAUAUAGGGACUACAGAAGCAAGCACCCUCUGUAAAUUAAACUCUAAAACUUCUCAAGUAUCUUGAAAGGUGCCAAAAGCCAUCAGCCAACUCCAGUUGAUGCAUAACCUCCUACAUUUACAAAAACAGCGUCGCCGUUAAUUUAUUGACUUCUUCCCAGGACACAUACCAAUUUGCGAAAGUGGUUUGACUGAUGCUAAUUAGUCGAGUAAAGUACAGUCUUUUCAAUUAAGCAGAUGCAAAACACUUAGUUGAGGCACUACAAAUAUGAUUUUUACCUUUAAUUAACGCGCUUCAAAAUCUGAACUGGACAUGUAGUUUGCUGAAGCAACAGUUUCAAGUUGCUGAUUCCCACUUAUACCAGCCUCCACCGUCCUCCUUCCAACAAAAAAUGCUGGCUUUGUUGGUGAUGCUAAUCGAAAGCUUUCAUUUGUCAACAUAGAUAUGACAUCUGACAUGGUAGGGCGAUCUGCUGCAUUUUCUUCUACGCAAAGCAGACCGACAUGGAUGCAUCUUAACAGUUGCUCUUUAAUAAACGAAUUUCCUAAUGUUGGAUCCGUUAAUUCUAGCCCUGCACCUUUUUUCCAUAACUCCCAUGCCUGAAGAACAAGGAUUGCAUUUCAUUCUAAAGAAGAAAAAUAUGAUUAUAAAUUUUAAGAGAGAGAUUUGUUUGUCAUACAUAUCCUACUAAAUUGAGUGCGCGAUCGUCAUUGUAAAAGCUGUUGUUUUUCCUUCCACUUAUGAUUUCAAGCAUCAAUACCCCGAAACUGUAGACAUCAGACUUUACAGAAAUAAUUCCCCCCACGGACUCUGGAGGCAUGUAACCACUGCACGAAAUGAAAAAGAAAAUUAGUCAGUAUACUUAUCUGGAAAAAUGCGUGUUUAGCAGUCAAAAGGGGAGGACCACGUCAAUGUGAUGCAGAAAUACUUACAGUGUCCCCACAACCUUUCUAGUGUUUGCUUCCAAUUCAUUUUGGGUGAAAAUCCUUGCCAUACCAAAAUCUGAAAUUUUUGGGUUCAUGUUUUCAUCAAGUAGUAUGUUACUAGCUUUUACAUCUCUAUGAAUUACUUUCUUUCUUGAGUAUUUGUGCAGAUAAAGCAACCCUUGAGCAAUUCCUUCGAGAAUGCUAAAACGCUUCUUCCAAUCUAGUAGUAGACCUCUGAUUGGAUCUGUCCAAUAUGUAGAGUUAAGUAGGACUAAUAUUAAUUAAUAGUAGUACUCUAUGAACUUUGACAGUAAAAUAAAAAUCAGAUAGUAAAUUUAACAAAUGAAAUCAAGUAUCUUGGUUCCUCACCAAAUAAAAAGUGGUCCAAACUUUUGUUCUGCAGAUACUCAUAUAUCAACAUCAUUUCUUCACCAUGAAUGCAAAAUCCGAAAAGGUGAACCAGGUUUGUAUGUUUGAGUUCAUAUAUAAGUAUCAGUUCAUUCUUGAAUUCUGAUGUUCCUUGCCCUGAACAUUUCGAAAGCCUCUUCACAGCUAUUUCUUGUCCCGUCGCCAAUUUCCCCUGAAUUGAUAAUCCAUAUCAUGUUUUUGCUGUCAUCUUUAGGCAAAUGAAGCUAAUUCCAUUUUUUUUCUUACAGCUUUUGAAUUAGAAGCAGAAAUAUUUUUUUUUCAAAAUGUUACCUUAUAAACCGGUCCAAACCCUCCUUGUCCUAGCUUGUUUUCUUCAGCGAAGUUUCUUGUGGCAGCCACGAUGGAUGAAUAGCUAAAAACGCUAAAAUCAUGAUGUCGCUUAGAUUUCAUGAAGAUAAGCAUUUCGUUCUCAAUCUCUGGCCAGUUCUCACCUAUACAGAUCAAUUAUAAGAAAUUAAAGUUUCAAUGGAGACAACAAUUGUCAAAGAUGUGAUUAAUAAUCCUGUCUUACUGGUGCACAUGAUUUAAAGAAAUAUACCAGCUGAUGCAAGGGCUGAUCUUCUUCGUCGGAGUAGAUAGUACGCGGUGCAAAGCACUAGAGCAGCAGCUAUAGAAAUGCCAAUCCAAACCCAUUUAUCUGCUGCAUCAUAAACAAUUAGCUAGCAACAUAUGCAAUAAGUGUAACACACACGCACAUGUACGCAUUAAUUGUCUUCAAUUUUUGGAUGAACUAGGUCUUGCAGGUUUCUUCCGGAAAACGAAGAAAAAUUCGAGACAGAGAGCAGAACUUAAGACAACAAUAACAAAGAUAGAGGUACCUAAUAAUACUGAUUCCACGCGUGUCACAGAUUUCCGGCUCAAAUCGGGUUUGCAGCCUCGGUAUAUAUCCUUCGGAUCAAGAAAAGAAAACCCUUUUGGGCAUUCGCAGGUUGGCCUUUUAUCUGGUUUGAGCAUACAGGUACUGUUGUAACCGCAAACACCAACGCCCAGUCGUAGGCAAAUAUCAUCCGGCAUAUACACCAGAGGACUAAUCCAACUUGCAUUUCCCGUGAAGUUUUUCGGGUGAGAAUAUAAAGCGAAAAUCCCAUCAAAAUCAAGAGUUGCCCUUAUGUAGUUGUCCCUCACCGACACUCCCUCUGUCCCCUUAAGAGGAACUCUUCCAUCAUUUUCUCUUAGAACAAACAUGUCCCCUGAGCUGCUGAACACCAAUCGUUUGCCUUGACUACCUGGCACGUUCCCUGAGGUGGUCUUCGUGGAGAAGUAAGGGAUGUUGGCAUUAUCUGUUGUGACGGAAAUGAGCACGAGGUUUCCAUCACCUUGCAAGCUCAGCUGGAACCGCCCUUUUGUGUAGUUAGUCUCCGAUUGUCUACACGAAAGCGUCCCGUUUCUCUCAAUUGUCUGUCCAGGCAAAACGGUGUCUGUAGGACUGCUGAAGGUCUCCCACAAGCUCCCCGAGUUUUGGUGUUGAAGGACAAAGUUUCCGGUGUCAUUCAUGACCCCGUUCGCAACAGUCCCCAAGGUUAUUUCGGAUUUCCAUAUCUCUCCACCCUGAGGAUUGUUAAGAACUAGUCCACUGUUGGCAGUCAAGUUCAGAACUGAUCCCCCAGGUGCAACCAUGGGGUUGUUACCGUCAUAUGCAUACCAAACUACGGUUUUGUCUGGGAUUUUCGCAUACCAUAUCGAAAGCAAGAAACGAUCAUUGUUUCCGAGGGGCGAAAAUCCAAACGCGAAAUCACCGGAUGGAGAAAGCCAUGAU